CCCACCAUUAUUCCUAAAAUACCCUUUAAUUAUUAAUUCAACUAAACACCAUCGACUCCAAGUUUAAAACAUAAAAAAUUUAACCAAAAAAAAAAAAAACACUCUUCAUCUUCUUCAUGUCUUUUCAACUUCACGAUCAGAAAUCCCAAUGAAACACCAUUACAGUCAACCCCUCAAUCCUUUUGGAAGAACUACUCAAAUUUACGUUACCAUAUCAAUAUUCUCAUCAGCCCCUUAGCAAUACUGGUGGCUUCACCGCUGCGACACCACCACCACAACAACAUGGCUACGACCAACAAGACUGCCAUGGAUUUUAAUUGAAGUGAUGUGAUAUGGAUAAGGACCCGCAUGUGGGUUAAUUAGAUUGAAAAAUCUUUUAAAUGGAAUAAAAUUGAAGGAAAAUUUGGCCUCUAUUAUCAACACCCACCAACCUUGACACAAUAUUAAAGGUGGAGUUGCAAAUUUGAUUUUUCUUAUUUUUUUUUACCUUUUCAAAGGAUUGGGAUGGGUAGAUAUGUGGUCGCUGAAUUUGUUGAGGUCAAGAUGGAAAGAAUAUGGAGAGUUAAAAGAAACAAAAUUAUUUUCUUUUUAGAAUUUGUUUUCUUUUUAGGGUUUUAGAAAUCAUUUUACAAAGGGAUAAAUUUGUCUUUAAAAUUUUUAAGAUAAGAUGGGUGAGAAAAUAAGAUAGGUGAGUGGAAAUAGCAACACUCUAUUGUAUAUUUGCUUAUGUAGGCUUCAAAGAAUUAGCACUUCGACGUUGCAAACCACCUGAAAACAUAACAUGGGUCCUCACUGAUGUGAGAAUGAUGAAUAUGGAGCCUGUACAUAUGUCGAAGAUAAUUAACAUGGUUCCGGAUCAGGUGAAGAAUUCAAUCCGUCUAGGGUGUGGAAAUGUGUGAAGGAAAUCAACGAAAUAAACAUGUUUAUUUAGUUUUUGAGGGACAAGAUGAGGGGACUCAAGUUGCUUCCAAACUUUCAUUUUUCUUUUCUUAUUGAACAAAUUCCCUUUCCGUAUGUUCCGGUUGAAGUGCUUUCUGUCACCUUUGGAAAUUAAUGUAUGGUGCAUCUGGCUAUUAUUGGGCUGGUGAAUGAGAAACAUGAACCUAACUUAUAUACAAACUCUUGCGUUAACAAUUGACCCGUGGAAGCAUAAUCGCUUGAACAGGAAAAAGAAAAUCAACUAAACCGAUAGCCUCAUCCAAGAUGAUGAACGGUUUAGAUUAUUUCUAGGUUGUUUUGUGUACCUCAUUAGGAAAUUAGUCAAGUGCGAGUAAUAAUACAGUAAAUAUGGUAAACAUUGCAACCUUAUCAUAUCCGGAUUUGGGACAAUGAAUGUAAAUGUGUAAUGUGAGAAUCUGGCUCAUAUAUUGUCAAGCACUUUCCCCUGUAUUUGUCAAUACCACCUUUCAUACAUGGUAACGACAUGAAAGAAAGUUAGGUUAAUUGUUAAAGCGAUUAUGCUCUCCUGAUCCAUAUCAAACCUAGAACACUUUCUCCUUCACCAUCCCAUCCCUUGCUUUUGCUGCCUUUCAAACCUCUCUAUGCUCUCCUGGACUUCAAAUUCAAAAUGGUUUUAUCCAGAAUCAUGUGAAAAUUUCAGUCAACAUAUUUGUUAAUUAAUUACCUCGUUAUUUAUGUUUGCAUCGAGAAACUCAUAAAAAAAAUUAUUUUUUUCAGCAUAAAUUCUUUUCAAUAAUAAAAAGUUGGGUUAAAUGGUCCAAAACUAAAUCGUUACACUUUCCACGCUUAUUAGAAGUGACUUAAUUAUGUGCCACAUACACAUGGACUGCAUGCAAAUUUAUAUAUGACAACUGGAAAGAGCACCAAUCUUUAUUGGCUUUUGCAAAGAUAUCCCACUCAAUUUUUCCUGUACUAACUUAGAUCUGUGUUUGGGGGGUCAAUAGGUCCAGAAAAACACACAAAAGCUAGCAAAGAUGGAGGAUGGGGGAAAUCCAUCCAUGUUGCCACCAAGUUACACUAAGAUUAAGAAAGAACAGCCGGAAAUGUUAAGUGAAUUUGACCAGAAAAUUGUCCAGCCCCAAGAGGCUAAGUUGAAGUUCCAAGAUGAAAAUGAAUCUGGACUGCUGCAACAAAGUGACAUAGAGACCAAUGCAGCAAAAUCAGAAAUGUUGAGCGGAGAUGGUAGAGCAAUAAAGGCCAUCCCUCUUCAAAUGAUACCAGCACCUACUCCGACUUUUUUUGAUGGAAGACCUUUUGGACUGCCCGAAGGAUGGAUUGUGGAACAAAGGCCACGGACAUCUCUCAAAUACUUUGGCAAAAUAGAUCAGGUUAAUUCCGUCACAAACUUUUUUUUGGGGGGUUUAAUAUAACUAUCUUUUUUCAAAUCUGAGGAUCUGAAGAAUUCAAUUGAAAAUAUAUUAGCUAAUUAUAUAUAAAAGUUUUUUAAUUAGAUCUAAUGCCUCCAUUCUCAGAUCUAUUAUGUAAAUUUUUUGAAAACUAGCAAGGGUUGUUGUAAUCUGAUGAUUUUGUGUCUGUUAGUUUACUCGUGGAGUGUGGAAUUAGUCUCUUUUUUUUCUUGUCUUUGUGGCGUUGUCAAAUUUUUGACUAAUUAUAGAAGUUCGUAUAUUAAUACAUUUAGUGCAUCCACCUCAGAUCUAUAAAUUUUAGGUUACUACAUGUAAUUUAAAAUAAAUAAAUAAAAAACUAGCUAGGGUUAUUGUGAUCUGAUUCUGUGUCUAUCAGUUUAAAUGCGGAACUGGGGGAAUUUUUGUUCUCCUUGUGGUGACAGUACCAUGUACCUAUUAUAUACUUGCAAUUCAAUUUUGAUGUGUACUGUUCUUCGCAGCUUAUGAAUUAAUAAAGUAUAUAGGUAUACAUGAUUCGUAUACAUGGCUUAAUAUUAUAUCUAGAUCGGGAUCAUAUUGAAGUGUUGUAUACACUAUUUAAUUAGUAUUGAUAUUGAAAGCACGUAACAUAUAUGCCUCAAGUAUGUGCAUGUAUAGCGUGCAUUUCACGCACACAAGUACACGCAUAGAUAUAGUUACAAAAUUAUACAUGCCUCAACUUACCAAAAUAUCUGCACAGUAGAGUAUACACACGAGAACAUACUAAUUAAGCUUGCACUUGGGAAGCCGCCGUUUUAGGUUGAAGGGAUAAUCAAAUAUGGGGAAGGCUCAGGAAUUUUCUUGUACCGUAUUCCAUGCCUAGAGUAUUAACAUUCAAGCAUAUUAUCAUGAAAUUCACAAAAUCUGGUUGGAAGUACCUUUAAAAGCCAGCAGGGGAGCUUCCUCAAUCCAUUUCAUUUAUUUUUAUCACCUUAUGCCUUGAGUUUUCCUCGUCUCUUAUGCAUUUUUUGCCAUCAACAGUUAUAUUCCUAGUGAUUCAAGUUAGUGUUCCUUAUUGACCCAUGUUAAUUUCAAUCUUCUAUUUAAUCAGCAGUGUUAAUUCAUAUUGAAAUCUAUCUGCAUUGAGCAAUUCCUAGAUUGUUCAAGGGCUUCAAUAAAGGAAAAUAAUCAUGCUUUGCCGGUUGGGUACUAUAGUUUUGCCUCUCACAUAAAAUGACAUUUUUUUUUUCCUUCUGUCAAACAUAAAAUGACAUUUUCUAAUAGUCCCCCUUUGUAAUUAAUUAACAUCGAUUAUCAAAAGUGCAGUUUGUUCAUGAAGUCAAAACAGAAAAGCGAUUCCGAUCCAUAAAGGCUGCAAAAAAAUGGAUUGAGGAAGCAACUCAAGGUGGGCCGGCACAGGAGGCAUUACCAGCUGGUAAUGGUUCUGAGGUGAGCUCAUGAAUUUACUUUGUAUAUUGGAGGUAAGAUGAUACACAAACUAGUAAAUUUAAAACGAUGUUUGCUUUAUGCAAUCGUUAUGUUCACAAAGGUGAUUGUACCAUUAAUGUAGAAUUGAUUAGAUUUAUAUAUGUAAAUGUACGACAUGCCUAAAAUUACGAUAAAUAUAUGGUUGAUGUUAUUGUACACUUUCUCAUCAUGUAGGCUUCACAGAGUGCCAAACCCCCUCGAACAACUACUAAAAGGAGAAAAGCAACUCCAGGCUUCGACUUUGCAAACCCACCUGAAAAGCUAAUAUGAGUCCUCACUGAUGCUAUGAAUGGUGAAUGAAACCAGUAUGUCGAAGCUACCAUGGUUCCGGAACAGGUGAAGAAUGAAUGGGCCAAGGCAUUUCAAUCUGUCUGUGGAAAUGAGUGAAGCAUCUGGCUAUAAUUGAGUUGGUGUUAAUGUAUGAUUAUAGCCAAAGACCAUGAAAAACUACUUUUCAGGUUACUCUUCGAAUAAUUGCCAAAAAAUAAACUGUCGUCGUCUUUUUUUGAACAUUCUGUGACUUCUAUUAUCAAACCCUAAACCUUUGUUUUUCUUAGAUUGGUUGUAGUGAGGUUUUUCUUUUCUUAUUUAAUAAAUUCCCUUCUCUUCUAACAAAUUUAAAAUACACUUGCAAAUUUUUUUUGGGGGGGUCGUAUUCAAUAAUGAUAGUCAUUGUUAACAUUUACCAUUUAUUAUUCGGGGACUUAAAUUUGUAGUGUUGGUUAUUGGGGUUAGAGUAUUAGAAUGUGAGCAUCAAAGUCAAAACUAAUUGAAAAUACAGGUAUGGUGUCAUCGAGGUUUUUAGUAAUGAUAUCGAUAUGAUGAGUAGUUUAGAUUACUAUAAGGUUGACCUUAGGAAAGUCCAAUGAGAGUAGUUAAACACUAAAUAUGGCAAGGGCAACCUUUUCAUAUUUGGAAAUGGGACAAUAUGAAUGUAAAUGUGUAAUGUGAGAAUCUUUCUCAUAUAUUGUCAAGCACCUACCCUGCAUUUGUCAAUACCACCCUUCAUAAUUGGAAACAACAUGAAACUCUCGUUUUAAGUUUUUUUGUAGACAUUGUUUGGUGAAUAUACAUGACCUUUUCUGAUCCCUAUCAAACCUAGAACACUUUCUCCUUCACUCUAUCGCUCCCUCUGCUCUCAUGUACUUCAAUUUUAAAAGAAUUUUAUCUAGAACCCUGUGGAACUUUCUGUCAACAUAUUUGUUAAUUAAUUUCCUCUUUACUAAUGUUGCAUCGAGAAACUCACAAAAAAAAAAAAACAAACAAAAACUUAUUCUUCUUUUUUAUCGUCAUAAAUUCUUUUUACUAAUAAAAUUUAGGUCAAGUAGUCCAAAACUAAAACUAAGCAGUUACACUUUCUCCACUUAUCAGAAGUGAUUUAUGUGCCACAUCUACACUUACACUGCAUGCAAAUUCAUCUAUGAUAACUAAAAAAAGUACCAAUCUUUAUUGGCUCUUACACAGAUAUCCAACUUAAUUUUUACUGUACUGACUUAGAUUUGUGUGUGUGGGGGGGUCUCAUUAGGUGCAAGAAAACAAACCAAAGCUAGCGACAAUGGAAGAUGAGGGAAAUUCAUCCCUGCUGCCACCAAGUGACAUUAAGAGUAAGAAAGAACAGCCAGAAAUGUUAAGUGAAUUUGAUCGGAGAUAUGCACUGCUGCCACAAUUUGACAUAGAGACCAAUGAAACAAAAUCAGAAAUGUGGAGCGGAGAUUGUAGAGUAAUCAAGGCCGGGCCUCUUCGAAUGCUACCACCCCAAGAGGCUGAGACUUUUUUGGUGGAAGAAAGGCCACAGACAUCUCUCAAAUACUAUGGCGGAAUAGAUCAGGUUAAUUCUGUCAUUCACUUUUUUUGGGGGUGAUUCAAUUGAAAGUUUUUAGCUAAUUAUAAAAGUUCUUAAAUUAGAUCUAGUGCCUCCGUUCUCAGAUCUAUUAAUUUUAGAAUUACUACAGGUAAAAUUUUUUUUAAACUAGCAAAGGGUUAAUCUGAUGAUUUUGUGUCUAUUAGUUUAGUCGUGGAGUCUGGAAUUAGGGGUUUUUUGUUUUUGUUUUUGUUGUUGUUGUCUUUGUAGUGUUGUCAGAUCUAUUAAUUUCAGGCUUACUACGUGUAUUUUUAUUUUAUUUUUUUGAAAACUAGCUAGGGAUAUUGUGAUCUGAUUUUGUGUCUAUCAGUUGAAGUGUGGGUGGGAUUUUUUUUUUCUCUUCGUGGUGACAGUACUAUGUAACUAUUAUAUACUUGCAGUUGCAAUUCAAUUUUGAUCUGUGUUCUUCGUAUUUACCUUUGAAUUAAUAAAAUAUAGAGGUAUAAAUCAUUCAUAAAUGGCCUUUUUAUAUCUAGAGCGGGAUCAAAUUGAAGUGUUGUGCACACUAUUUAGUAUUCAUAUUGAAAACACGUAACAUAUAUACUUCAAGUAUGUGCAUGUAUAGCGUGUAUUUCACGCGCACACGCACACAUAUAUAGUUACCAAAUUAUUCAUGCCUCAAAUUACCAAAAUACCUGCAUAGUGUAUAAACAAGAGAACAUACCAAUUAGGCUUGGGAAGCCGCAGUUUUAGGUUGAAGGGAUAAUCAAAUAUGGGGAAGGUUUCAGGAAUUUUAUUGUUACUUUACAUGUUUGUACAAUUUUUUAUAGCACCAUAUUCCAUGCCUAGAGUGUUAACAUUCAAGCAUAUUAUCGUGAAAUUCACAAUAUUGUAUAUUUUGCUCAUGUAGGCUUCACAGAGUGCCAAAACCCCUCAAACAAGUACUAAAAGGGGAAAAGCAACUCGAGACUUCGACUUUGCAAACCCACCUGAAAAGCUAACAUGGGUCCUCACUGAUGCUGACAAUGGUGAAUAGAACCCGUAUUUCGAAGCCAUCAUGGUUCCGGAAAAGUUGAAGAAUGAAUGGGCCAAGGAAUUUCAUUCUGUCUGUGGAAAUAUGUGAAGCAGACCCAAACAUUGCUUUUCAGCUUACUCUUUGAACAGUAGCCAAAAAUAAAAAGUCUUUCUCUUUUGAACAUUCCAUCAUGACUAGUUUAUUGUCUUCAAUUCUAACUUCGUUUAGCCAAAGCAUUAGCUGCCUGGUUUCCCUGCAUUUGCCAAUACAACCUUAAUUUCAUACUUGGUGACAACAUGAAGGCUCUCUAUUUCACGUUUCUUUGCAGGCAUUGUUUGGUGAAUGUAUGUACAUGACCUUCUCUGAUCCCUAUAAACCUAGAACAUUUUCUUCUUCACCAUCCCAUCGCUUGCUUUUUGCUGCCUUCAAACUCUCUUGCUCCCUCUGCUCUCCCUCGCCCUCUUAUAUUUCAAAUUUAAAAGAGUUUUAUCAAGAACCCUGUGGAAACUUCUGUUAAAAUCUUUAUUUAUUAAUUUCCCCUUACUCAGGGUUGCAUUGAGAAACUCACAGAACAAACACACACAAAAUUUUCUUUUGUUUUUUCAGCAUAAAUUCUUUCUAAUAAUAAAAAUUUGGGUCAAACAAUCCAAAACUAAGCAGUUACACUUUCUCCACUUCUUAGAAGUGACUUGUGUGCCACAUUCACAUGGACUGCAUGCAAAUGGUUAUUACAGAGAUAUCCAACUCAGUAUUUUCUGUACUGACUUAAAUCUCUGUGUGUGGAGACAGAAAUAUCCAACUCAGUAUUUUCUGUACUAACUUAAAUCUCUGUGUGUGGGGAUAGAGAUAUCCCUUGCCUUUAAAAGAGUUUUAUCCAUAACCAUGUGGAAACUUCAGUCAACAUUUUUCUUAAUUAAUUUCCUCUUUACUUAGGUUGCUGAGAAAUUCAUAAAACAAACACACAUACACACACAAAUUCAGCAUAAAUUAUUUUUAAUGAUAAAACUUUGGGUCAAAUAGUCCAAAACUAAGUCCUCGCACUUAAUAGAAGUGACUUAUAUGCCGCAUAAAUUUGGACUGCAUGCAAAUGGUUAUUGCAUGGGUAUCUAACUCAGAUUUUUUUGUACUUACUUAAAUCUGUGUGUGGGGGUCAGUAGGUGCAAGAAAAUUCCCCAAACCUAGCAACAGUGGAGGAUUCAUCCCUGUUGCCACCAAGUGACACUGAGAUUAAGAAAGAACAACUGGAAAUGUUAAGUGCAUUUGGUUUUUGAAGCACAACAUGAAGGGACUGAUGAAAUUAGAGAACCAAAGUGGAGUCAGUUAAGAUGCCUUCCAAACUUUCGUUUUUCUUAGAUUGGUUGUAGUGAGGUUUUUCUUUUCUUAUUGAUUAAAUUCGGUUCCCUUGUAACAAAUUUUGUCCUUUGGUUUUGUCUUAUCCAGUGAUAAGAAUUAUUGUUAACCUUUACCAUUUGCUAUUCGUGGACUCAAAUUUGUGGUGUUGGUUAUUGAGACUAGAGUAUUAGAAUGUGAGCAUCAAACUCAAAAUUAAUUGAAAAGGCAAGUUUGGUGUCAUCUAGGUUUUUGGUAGACGUAUAUCGAGAUGAUGAAUGGUUUAGAAUAUCACUACUAAAGUUUACCUUAGGAAAGUCCAGUGAGAGUAACACUGUAAAUAUGGUAUACAUGGUAACCUUAUUAUAUUUGGAUUUGGGACAAAGAAUGUAAAUGUGUAAUUGAGAAUCUGGCUCAAAAAUUGUCAAGCACUUUCCCUGGAUUUGUCAAUACCACCUUUCACAAUUGGUAACAAAAUGAAAGCUCUCAUUUCAAGGUUUUUGCAGGCACUGCUUGGUGAAUGUACAUGACCUUCUCUGAUCCCUAUAAAACCUAGAACACUUUAUCCUUCACCAUCCCACCCCUUGCUUUUGCUGCCUUCAAACUCUCUAGAUCUCUCUGCCUCUCUCGCUCUUUCGUUCAUCAAGAUGUCUCUGUCGACAUUUGAUGUUUUGGUGUCAGCCGCUGUAGCCUGCCAGGAAAAUGAGUUCUCCAAUUUUCCUCAGGCAGUUCUUGUGGAUCCCCAUGAGAUACAGUCCAAUGUGAAUCCAAAAAGUACUAGGCAAAUACAGGGUUCUAUUAGUACCCCAAACAAAGAGUUGCAGAAAUCGCAACACUUCAAAGCACUUCAAAAAAUGGUUACCGUAAGUCACUGCCUCUUAAUUUCUCCCAUUAAUUAAUCUCUAAUUAAAAUUGUCUCUAAUAUUCUUUUUACACAGAAAAAAGUGAAAGAGUUGAAACCCCUGUCUUCAGCGGACACAGAUGAAACCACCAGAAACCUGCAAAUCAUACAACCACAUGCAAACAUUGUAUGGUUUCAUUUGCUCAAUUAAUCUCUAGAUCUACAUAUAUAUAAUCGGUUUUGAGCUUUCUAGCGAUGUUAUUGUAUGAUUGCCAUUCUCACAUAAUUUUCUUUGCAUUUUCAGUCACCCAAAGCAAAGCCGCCGAGAUCUCGGACCACCCUGACUGGAGAUUUUUCGGUGUCAUUUGAACUGCCGGAAGAUUUUCCUCAUGAUGCAAAUGCUGAGACGGUAUAUAAAGUGAUAUAAUAUACAUAUCAUGUUGAAAUUAUUUAUGCAUAUAUUCAUAUAAUAAAAUGUACUUAUGGAUCUACAGUUAGUGCAGGAGAGGAGUGGAACUCCUCACACUUUACCUCAAUUUUCAUUCUCUGAAAGACUUCAGGGCUGGAGGAUUACUCGAAGAAAACGAGUCAAGGGAAUAUAUGACAUGGUAUUUGUUUGAUUUAUUAGUUAUGAAAUUUUGAAAACCUAAUUUUAUUUUUCCUAAAAACCCUAGAUUUUAUAAAAUAGAUUAAAAAGGGUUUCAAAUCUUUAAGAUCUGCAAGAGUAAAAUAUAAUUUCAUAUAACUAUGUAUAUUUUCUAAACAUGAAAUGUUUGAUGCAGUAUUAUCGACAUGAGAAGUCAAAUGCCAGUUUGAGAUCAAUUGUUGAGGUGGUCAGAUUUAUUCUUUAUGAGGAAUAUCCCAAACAACAAGCCGCAGGAAAGUCAGAAGGAGAUCAAUCAGUGAGUUAGACCAUCAAGCUAAUUAUAUAUAUUUUUGGCAUAAAAAACUUUGAAAUAUCAUACAUAGUGAGCAAACUUAACUAUAUGUUUAGGCUGAGAGGAGAAUGGCGAGAUCAGCAACGUUGAAGAGAAAGUCUUCAGAUGUUGAUUGUGGCAACAAUGUCUCAGAGGAGGAUAUGCAGCGUUUCAAUUGUGGACCGAAGGAGGAUUUUGUAAGGUUGUCACCUGAAGCUAUGGAAGAAAGGGUGAGAAAGUUUCUCAAGGAAGCAUAUGAGAACCUGAGGAACUGGAAAUUUGUUGUUAUAGAGGAGGAAAGUGAAUCAGAAGGUAAACUUCCUUCUUUCUCUACUCAAUGCACUUACAAGUAUAUAUAUAUUGAUCUUUUUAUUUAAUUUAAUCAUUCUCUUUUAAUCCUUAAUUUCUCAGGGACCAAACGUCUAAGGGUUACAAUAGCUCCUCCAAAUGUUGUAUCAUCCAAUACUCCUUCUAGAGAAGAUGAAUUUUCCAACCCUUCAAUGGAAUUUCAUCAAGCCGAUCCGAUGAACCAUAAGGAGGUUAGCAAUGGCAGCCAUGUGCAAAUGGAUGGCAUCAUAAGGGCCAGUCCUUUGGAAACAACAAGGGUGAUGAGAGCAAGCGCUGAUCAGAGUGCACGCGACUUACAGGCCUAUAUGGAGGAAAGAGAAUCAGAAGGUAAACUUCAUUCUUUCUCUUCUCAAUGCACUUAGAAGUUUAUAUAUUAAUCUUUUUAAUUAGUUUAAUCAUUCUCUUUUUAAUCCUUUGAAUUUUCUCAGGUACCAAAACAAAACAUGUAAAUGUCCCAAGUGUAACCCUAUCUUCUAGAGAAGGUGAACCCUCCAACGCUUCCAUGGAAUUUGAUCAAGCAUAUAUGUUGAACCAUGUGGAGCUUAGAAAUGGCAGCCCUGUACUAAUGGAUGGCGUCCACGGUGCCAAUCCUUUGGCAGCAACAACGGUGAGAGAAAGAGAAGUUUAUCAGAGUGCACACGAAGCCUAUAUGGAGGAGUGUGACCUGAUUAAUGAAAUUCCGGAGUGCCCCAACUACGAGGACCUUGUGACAAGCCUCGCAUUAAUGAGAGCCAGGUUAUUCCUUAACGAUUUCGACGACUACUAGGUUAUGUUUAGUUAAGGUUUUUAGCUUUCCUUGACAACUUUGUAAUUGCACAUGUAAGUCAUCAAGCUCUAGGUUAAUUAGACUAGGAUAGUCUAGUUGAAGAUGAUUACUGUGGCCGAGGUCAACAGUGGCACGAUGCAAUCAAGAUCUUUAAAGGUAAAUCAUGCAUUGCAUAUAUAUUAGAACAUAUCAAGUCAACGUAAUGAUGGCGAUGCCUUAGAUCGAAAUGGGAAUGUAUAGAUUCCCAAUUAUAAUACACAGUUCCUUUCAUUUUCGUUUGUUGUUAAUUAUAAGUUCACUAUACCAAUUUUGGCGCCUAUCUUUUAUUAUGAACUUUACACAUUCGGUCCAUUUCUCAACUUGUUUGUUCAUUCAAGCAUGAUUAAUUCCUCUCCACAUUGCUUGCACAAGUAACUCACAAAAGAAAAUGAAAAAAGAGUUAUACACCUAUUGAAGGAGAUAAAUUUAAAAAAAAGUAUAUACACCUAAAUACAUAAUCACGGGGUAUAUUAAUGAAACUUGCCCUCAAAGGAUGUUGCAAGUUUUGUGGUUACAUUCAAUAAUGAACUGUUCGUCUCGUUAACCUUAAGUUAAUUAUAUUAUUAGGAAACUCGUCCCUCGAUCUUUUUCCUUUUUACUUUAAUUUUACUUUUUGUUACUAAUUAUUAAAAGGAACAGUGAUACAUCACCACCAGAUUUAAGUCGGUCCGAAGAACUACCCCAGGAUACCACUUGAACCCGAUGAAAAAUUAUAAGCUAUAACUUGUAUCUAGUUCUUGGAUUCUUGGUUUCACUGCUAUAAAUAUGUAAUUAAGGAAAAAUAAUUAUGUAGUGAGUUGGGCAGUUUUAAGUUCCUAAUUAGAUAAAACCUGUAAAGAUAAGAGCCACUAUUUCUUGUUUUCACAUUGGAGUCGUGAGGGGAUUGUUGGAAUGGUUAAAAUGGCAGGGAGGAACUGAUAUGGAAGUUAAGAAACUAAUUAUGGUAUACAAGGGUAAGCUAAGCAUAAUUGGAUUUGGGACGUUGAAUGUGGUUACACACCAUGUAGAUAUGCAAAUUCAAAAUUCAAAAAAAAAACAUCUGAGUCAGAUUUUAUCAAACACUUUCCUUUAAUUUGAUAUACCAUCUUUCAUAAUUGGCAACCCAAUGAAUUUUCACAUUUAUUUUUUUUUUCUUCACACCUCAUUUGUUCAUGUACAUGGCUUUCUGUGCCGUUGUGUCUUUUUUAUAAAAUCUAGUGCCGUUUCUCUUUUCAGUAUCUUUCUGCAAUUUCUCGUUUCUUUUGUACUCUCGUUGCCAUUCUUUACAUAAAAUACUCUCUUUCUCUCUAUCUCUAGAUCUUCUGUCCAGAAUGUCUUCUUUUGACAAAAUUGUGUUAUCGACACCGUCCUCAUCUCAGAUGGUGCCCUUUGAAGCUAGAGUGGACAGAGAGUUGCAUGAGCAACUCUAUAAAAAGCUCAAAGCAAUUGUUUCAGUAAGUCACUGGCUCUUAAUUCCUUCCACCGAUCUAUCAACAUGUACCUGCUUGAUGAGCUUGGUAUCUAUAAAUUAUAUGUGGUUAAUUAGUUAACUUUCGUUUUACGCAGAAAUCUACCCAAGAGUUGAGAUCCAGGGUGCUCAGUGAACCUGUCGAGGGAGGGACGAGCUCUACUACAAACGGAAUCAUAAGAGCAGCACCUAUGAAUUCGUAUGUGGCUGAGGACUCUCUUCACAAUCCAAUGAAAAUGGUGAUUUCACUUUAGUUCCUUAAUUCGUUUCUUGAUCUCCCUAUACAUAUGAUGUUUUUGUUGUUGUUGUUGAUAAAAUAUAUGUUGGGUUUUAGAGGAUCUAAUGAUAUGCGUGUGCACGUAAAUUUAUAGUCUCAUAAUUAAACCAAUGUGCAAACUGACCUGUCUACUCAGAUACCGUAAUUUAGUUUAGUUGAAUAUAUAUAUAUAUAUAUAUAUAUAUAUGAGAAUUUUCAAGUAAGGAUAUUUGCAUAUAUAAAAUAUCCUUGCAAAAAUUCAGCCAAUUGAGAAAUGUUUUAGCCGGCUGUUUGAUUACCAUUAAAAUUAUUUCACUUUUAUCUAAUGAUAUGUAUUUGUCUGCACAGUUUAGUUACAAUUACUGAUUUAGCUAAUUUUUCACAAUUAUUAUGACACUUAAAUAGCGACUUAAAUAUAGAGGAUUGUGAUUAUUGAAUUGCACUGCAUAAUGGUCCUACUGAAAGAUGAUUGUGUAGAAUAUAUUGAGAGUAUCAUACACUAAUUGGAGAAUGAAAAUUUUGCAUUAGUGCUUAAAAGAUCUUGGGUCUCCAUCCGUUGCUAAUUGAUUUUAGACUGAAUGCUCGCAUUUUAACACAUACACACACACAUAUAUCGCUUCAGUUGAAGGAUCUCUCAAGUAAAUUUAGUUUAGGCACAUCCUUGUAGGAAUCACUACACAUUGUAUUUCAAUGAUCGGAAUUGUCUAAUUUUUAAAUUUCCCUCAAAAAUCAUCCCUGCAAAAAAUCAUACUUGAACCAUUUGACCACUCAAUUAGAUAGUUGUUAUUAUAGUCUUUUCUUGAAACACCGUGUUCGUCUAUUUUUUGGGCCCGAAUUAGAUGCCUUAAUGAUCUUCAAUUUGCAUGAUUUUUUUGUAAGGAUGAUCUAUGAAUAAAGACUUAAAAAAUAUAUGGUUUGGAUUGUUGAUUUUUUUUUUUUUUUUUAUAGAGGACCGGUACCCUAUCUCAAAUAAAAUUAUAGUUUCAAUAGAAAUGUUGAUUACAUUGUGGUUAUCAAAUAAUUUGCGUUACAAUUUCCACCCCGUUACAGGAGGAGUUUAAAAGACCACGAGUGCCCACCACUCCGGCUGGUGAUAUUUUUGUGGACUACAACCUUCCAGAAGAUCUCACUCUGGAUGGCUUACCCCUUGAGGAGGUAACUUCACUACACAACCAGUUAAUUAUUUGCGACUUUAAAACUUGCAUAAUGUACUAUUUGUAUUAGUGUGAAUUAAGGAACUCAUAUAUAUAGUGGGUUUGUGGAUGGCUACAGUUGGUACCCAGGGAGGAGACGUUUGGUGCCAGUUCUAGUCAAAGGCCACCACGCCAAUUCUCUUUGGCGCAGAGGCUCGAGGGCUGGAAGAUCCAGCGUAAACAGAGACGCACAGGAAGAUGUGAUCUGGUAAUACUUUGAUUAAUUGGUUUCUUGUUUGGAUCUGAUUCAACUCUCUCCUAUGGAAAAUAUGUUGACAAGAUAUACUUUCUAAAAAUGAAUUGAUCUGUUUCCUGCAGUACUUCAUACACCAGGGAUCUAAUACGCUUCUGAGAUCGUAUGUUGAAAUGGUAAACUUCAUACUUUAUGAAGUAUAUCCCCCGAAGCCGACACCGAAAAGAAAGUUACUAGAGAGUUAUGAACCGGUGAGUUAUAUAUCACACAAAAAUCUUUUACAUAUAAAGAUUACAACUCAUAUAUAUUUUUAGUUCAUUUUUGUUCACUAUAUAUGUGCAAUGUUUGUUCUGAUCCAUUUCAGGCUUACAAGUCUUGUCGAAUCAUCAGGGAGUCUUAUCACAUCACUGAAGAACAAGUGCGGGAAUUUUUGAGGUCGUCCUAUGAGAACCUACUGAAUUAUAAAGAGGGUAAUUAAUUAAACUUUCAUUUUCGGGUGCUACAAGUUCAUAAUAAUUAAUUUACUAAUAGUUAAUCAAAUAUCUUGUUGUGGUUUAGUCUCUUUUGAUUCUAUUGGGGACCCAUCUCCUUCAACUGAUGCUCCACCCACUACUACUUCUAACCCUCUGGAAGAACACGCAGAAAACCCUGAUGCCAACACUCCUGUGGACAAUGAACUUAUUGCGCCUGGUCUGCAAAUUGACUUGAAUCAGCCUUCAGGAGAAGCCAAGGGUGGAGAGAAGGAGGCACCGGCAGAAGAAGCCGAGGGUGGAGCGGAGGAGGCUCCGGCAGAAGAAGCCGAGGGUGGAGAGGAGGCGGAGUACUAAUCAAGCAUAGAGUUAACCAAGAGGACGUCUAGAAGGACUAGGGCUGUUGCCAAAUGGAAAUGGGCGAUUUGUAAAUUAAUUACUAUGGUUGCUGUAAAUUUAGAUACAGUUCUUUUCUGUUUUUCCUUUGUUUUUUCUUGGGUUUUAAAUUUGGACACCAAUUUUAUCUGUAACCUUGUUGCAUGCAUCGAUCCCAUUUGGUGUGCCUAGACGGCUAGACAACACCAAUUAAACAGCUUCCUAUGCAAACUCAACAAUUUUCUCUUCUCUUUUAUUUAAAUUUUAAUGAUUUUUAUAUGCACUCCAACAUUUAUUUGCAAUUUUAAUUAGUUCGACCAAUGCCUAUGUAGAUGUAUUAAUCCCUUGUUAUAAUGAUAUUGGAAAUUCUCCCAUAAAUAUUUUAUGUUCAAGCAUGAAAUUGAAAGUUUUAAUUGUUCGGGAUGCAAACAUGUAUAUAUAUAGCUCAUAUGUUUAUCUUUAACCAUCACACAUUACUGUUUGUUGACUCAAACUUGGGGUGUUAAUAGAGCAACUUAUUAGCGCAAAUGGAUUUAAUUUGGGCCCCAGGGAAACCAAACUUAAGGCUACAAAAUGAUAUUAAGUUUAUUGGAUUCACAUGCCAUAAAUGCAUAAAAGGAAAAAUAAUUAUGGUUUGAGGUAUGUAGAAUUUUAAAUUUCAAAUCACACAUAACAUGUGAAGAUAAGGUAAGGGCCACUAACCCUAUAUGCAUAAUGCAUGCCAUUUUUGAUAAUUUCAAGGUUUCCAGGAUUGGAAACAUCCAAAGGUUGUUGUGGAAGUCCAGUAAGAAUAAGACAGUGUAUAAGUUGUGGAGCAAAACUUAUCAUACUUGGAUUUUGGGACAUUGAACAUAAACAUGGAAUUUGAAAAUCUAAAAAUCAGAUAUUGUCUGGCACUUUUCUUAAAUUUUUUGCACAUCAACUUUCCUAAUAGGCAUUUUCACACAAGAACAUUUUUGCUCAUCACUUUAAUUCAAGGUGUAUGCUCAUCAUUUUUUUCAAUACUUGAUAUGUAUCUAUAAGCAUAACCAUGAUUACAUAAAUCAAAGUAAAAAGUUAAUCAUGGUUAUACAUAUUGACACGUGUCAAAUAUUAAAAAGGAUGAUAAGCAUACAGCCAAGGUUAAAGUGGUGAGCAAAAAUAUUUCUUUUUUCACACAACAACUUUCCUAAUAGGCAAAAAAAUUCUUCAAAUGAAGGCUCUCAUUUAAUGAUUUUCCCAAGACACCUUCUUGCUCAAAUCUAUAUGACUUUCAAACAGGUUUUCUGUCUGUUUCACUAAAUCUAGAGAGCCUCCUUUUUCUCAACCCAAUUGUGUGCUUGUCUCCUUUUGUGUUCUUGCUGCCUCUAUUCUCAGCAUAUAUUGCAUAUACUACUCUCUCUCUCUCAAAAUGUCUUCCCCAUCUCAGAACAGGAGGUCAUCAGCCACCACAGCAGAAAUGGGGAAGUCAGAAGAAACAUACGACCCUCAGUCUCUGGAAACCGUUCCCCAUAAUUCACAGUCACCCACAUUUGAUGGUGACCAAAGGAAUUUACAACUGAAAAAUGAUCUAGCUCUAGUUUGCAUUCCACAAGCUAGAGCUGAUGAGGGCUCUAGUUCUUCUCAUCACCCAAAUGAAUACAACGUGCAUCUCCGACUCAAGCGAACCUUGAGCUAUAUUAUCUCAGUAAGUCACCAUGGCUCUUAAUUCGUCUCCCAUUGAUUUAUAAACCUGCUUGAGUUUUGCAUCUAUAAAUUAUAUAUGUGAAUAACUUGAGAAUUAAUUUGACAGUCUGAAAAUUUUCAUUUUACACAGACAUAUAGUACAGAGAUGAGAUCCACGCAAGCUGCAGGGCAAAUGGUCAUAAAAGCAGAACCCAUAUCUUGCGUUCGGAGUGUUCAAGAGGUUUCACUUGCUUAAUUCAUCUCUAAAGAUCUAUCUAUACAUGAUGGGUUUUAACUUGUACACUAUCUGAUUAAUGUAAAUAAAAAUAGUCUCAAAAUUAAACCAGAAAUACUUGUACUUUGCAAAUCAAUUAGUGAUCUCGCAUAAUUUGCUUUGCAUUUCAUGUUACAGGAAAAUUUGAAAAGAAAACGAGUAGCCACCACUUCGGUUGGUGAGAUGGUUGUCGAAUCAUUCAUACUUCCCCAAUAUUUAAGCCUCGAUUGUCUAGACCUGGAGAAUGUAAAGCACUUCACUACAUAAACAGUGCAUGAUAUCCUCACAUGCAUUUUUUUCUUUUUCAUUUAACUAUUAAUUGUGUGUACUGUCGUGAAGGGACUCAUUAUUUGUUUGUGGAAUAUGGCUACAGUUACUUCCGAUGGAUAAGGAGCUCUAUGCAAGUAUUGUGCAUAGAACACGAAAAUAUUCUUUUGCUCAAAGGCUCCGUGGCUGGAAACUUGAGCGCAGACAAAGAUCCACAUUAAUGUGUGACAUGGUAGUGUGCUCAAUUUGGUUUCUUCUUUAGAUGACAUCUCGAACUCUCUUAUAUGGAAAGUGUUGAAGAUCUAAUGACACUACACCAGAUAAUUAAAGCUACUCUGUGCGAUUGUAAAAACCCUAAUUUUUUUCUAUAAACCCCCUAAAUAUACAAGUAGUUUGGUAGAUCGAGAAACCCUAAAGUUAUUAAAUGUGACUAUGGAAACCUGAAUUCUUUGGUUUUUUCUUUUAAAAACUCUAGAUUUAUCACUUGUUCAAACCUUUAAAAUCUAGACAAGUAAAAAAAAAAAAAGAGUUAUAUGACUAGAUAUACAUUUUCUAACAAUUAAUGUUUCUUGCAGUACUACAGGCACCAGGAAUCCAAUAUGUUUUUCAGAUCAAAUACUGAAGUUGUAAACUUCAUACUUUAUGAAGCAAAACCACAAGAUAAGCGAACAACAAAACGAAAGGCGCAAAGGAUUGCUGAUUCAGUGAGUUAGAUCAUUCAGAUCUUUUAUAUUUUUAAAUGAAAUUCAUUUGCUCACUAUAUAUGUGCAAUCUUUUUGUUCCCUUUCAGGCUGAGACCUCUGAGCAGGGGAGGAGGAAAAGAUUAACGACGCCAACAACGCGGAAGGGGCGACGAGAGGCUGAUCAUUGUGAAAGCAGCCAUGGGGGGAAUGAAUAUUCCGUUGGAUCUGUAGUACAAGCAGCGGUGGCGUUGCUUCAGUUGUCCUUGGAUGAACAAAUCCAUACCGGUAAUUAAACUUCAUUUUUUAUCCUCUAAUCAUUGUGCUAUGUAUACAAGUUUAUGUUAUUACAAAUUUCCUAUCCAUUUUUUCACUAAUUAGAUAUCUUGUUGGUUAAUUUGCUCUCUUUGAAUUCUAUUGAAGGUCCAUCUGCUCCCCCAACUGCUGUUUCACAUGAACCUGCAAGAGAAUGGAACCAAGCAACUAUCAUCCCUCUGGAUGGCCAUGCCAACAACAACCCUGAUGUGAGCCAUCCGGUGGAUGCCGAGCCGAACCCUAGCCCUGAUCAGCAGGAAGACCAACCCGAAAACCAGAACGUCAACCCUCCUGUGGAAAGUACUGAACCAAACCCUAAGGCGCCUGUUGAUGGCCUGAAUGCUAGUGAUCAAGCAGAACCCAAUGGUGGAGAUGAGGAAGGAGUUAGGAAGGUCGAGGCAAACGACACUACAACCGUUGAUGAGGAUGAGAACCUGUUCGAGGGACUAGAACCCUUAGAUUGGAACAUGAUUCAUUUACCAGACAAGCCAGAAAUCCCGGAUCUCAACUCUCAUGUCGACAGUACUGAGCCAAACCCCGGGGCGCCUGUUGAUGGCCUGAAUGCUGGUGAUCAAGCAGAACCCAAUGGUGGAGAUGAGGAAGGAAUUGACCAGGCCGAGGCAAACGACCCUACAACCGUUGAUGAGGAUGAGAACCUGUUCGAGGAACUAGGACCGUUAGAUGGCAGAAUUUUUUAUUUACCUGAACUUUAGUAGACAGUUUUCUUUUUUCUUUUUUUGUUGUCGUCUGUUUUUGGACUUGGAGACCUUUUCUUAUGGGUCUGGACAAUACCUAACAGCAUUUUGUACAAUUUAAUAAAUGAUUUAAAAGUUCACUUCAAAUCUUAAAUUGUCUAAUUAGUACAAACAAUUAAAUCUUUCCUCUUUCGGUUGGAGUGGAAGGAAAAAGAAUGUUAUUACAGUCUAUUUUAAACGUAAUAUCACGGAUGUCACUCUUGAAUAGUAAAUGUCACUGUGGGACAAGUUGUCUGUGACACAAAAGUAAAUAAAAAAACUCUAUUAUAAUUAGAGACCAAUCAUUUUAACAACAAAAAUGCACCCAUGGUCAAUGUCAAUGUCAUUAUAAGAGAAUGACAUGGUCAUAAUAGCUAGACCGGCUUGUUCUUAUUUGAAGGUGCUUGACCAUUUUAUCUUCGUGUCUUUCUAUUUGUGCGUAUAUGAUAAAACCCUUUUUUUAUAUGAAGCUUAAAUUUUAAUGGUGUAUAUAUAUGCACUCCAACAUCGAUUUUCAAUAGUUACAGGUGUAUUUCUUUGUUAUAUAUAUCAUCAGUUGACUUGCCGAAAUGGACGAUAUGGGCCUCCAGGCAACUCAUGCACAGGAUGAUUAUAAAAACCCGAAGGUAAUUUUUUUUUUCUUAUUUUUUAUUGAGAUAUUUAGUGAUAUACCCAUUUCUAGCACUAAUAUUAUAAAUAAAUCCUACACAAUUGAAUUCCUAUAAACAAACCCAAAAAAAACCCAAAAAAUGAUAGCUGGCCUUAUUGAAUUUAAUAUUAAUUAUUAAAUUACUUUGAUGCCCUAUUGAGUGCUUUGGGUAUUUUUAUGAGAUUUUGGGGUUGGGCUUGUUUUAAGAAAUUGAUGGCAGUUUUGUAAUUUAUAAGAAGUUAAAAGCUUUUUUGUUAUGUUGUAAAUGGGCUUUGGGUGUGUUUCUAAAGUCCAUUUUAUAUAGGGUAUUUUUAUAAUUUUGGCCCCCAUAUUGGGUAUAAUAGUGAAUCUCCCUUUUUUAUUUUGUUAGGGGUUAAUUUGAUUUUUAUUUUGUUAUUUUUCAUGAAAUGUGACUGCUGAAAGGAGAUUCAAAUGGUUGGCAUCAUCUUGUGAGACUCCAAUAUUUCUCUUCACGGUUUGUUCACAUAUAUCGGCAUGGAACAGAAUAUGGAUGCUGCCAAAGGGAUGGAAGUUCCGCUGUGGAACAAAGGCCACGAACCUCUCUCAGACUUGGUUAACUCUGUCAUUAUUAAUUUGAUUGGUUUGAGUUACAAUUAUUUUUGUAAUUAUAUUUUGUUUUAGAGCUUAAGGAUUCAUCAAGGCAAUUGAUCCACAUAUUAAGUCUAGCUAUGCUAGGUAACCUAAACGAUUGAUGGUGGUUGAUUUGGAAAAGAUGGACUGCGUCUCUUCUUUUGUAAUCUCUCACAUUCUACAGUUGAAACACACAUCGCAGCCAAAAUUAGUUUCUUGUUUGAAUAAUAAUGCGUUUUACGUACACGAGAACAUUAAGGUGAGACUGAGAUCUCUAUAAUUAGAUUUUCUCAUACAAAAUUACAUAUCACACAACGUUGAAUUCCUAUUUUUCAUGCAGAAUUACGUACGUAGCACGCAAAGUUUGAUCCUCAUUGCCCAAGCACUGCGAUUAUCGCACCAUAUGUGUGAUGUGAUUAAUUUCAUCCAUAAUUAGGAGCACAAGUACUUAACCUAAUGGAUACCAUAUUGAUCAUCCAGGUCCAGCCUUUGGCUACUUGCAGUACAUACAUCUUUUUAUUAAGUUAGUGCUUCAGUAGAAAAAUACGAGUACUGUUCUUACAUCCUGUUUGAAGUUCAAUAAUAAAACUCGAAAAGAGGGACUACUUCAUAAUCAUUGAUCGUCUAACCCACACGCAACUUAAAUUAGAAACCAAAGAUUGGGAUUUAAAAUUCAUUUCUGUGACCCUUACAAGAAAGCGACUCCAAUCACUCAAGGCGGCCGAGAGGUGCAUUACAAUUUAAGUAACUGAAAUCAGGCAAGAACUGAGGCAUUACAAGGUGGUGGGGAUUCUUCUUUCUAUGGUCAAUUUAGGAAGAGUACUGGUGAUUGCCAUAUGUUAAUGUAUGUGAAACAUAUUAAGGGAUCGCGUGAACAACUGUCGUUAACAUUCCUCAAUCGAUGAACGACUGUCGUUAACAUUCCUCAAGUGAUGUGUCAUUUGAUGCUAUUGUCUGUUCAUGCAGGGAACAAGAAGACUCCAGGCUUCGCGACAGUUCCAAACCACAUAGACAUAACAUGGGUCCUCACAGAUGCUGAGGCCUGAGAGUGAUGAGUGGAGCCCCAAUGACCACAUGUUAUCAUGAGUCCUAAUAAAGGUGAUGAAUUAUUGGGCCCAAACCUCUGCAUUUGUAAUGGAUUGGACUUGUCUGUUGAUUCUCCAGAAACCAAUUCUAAAACAAUGAGUUGCAUCAUAUCUCUCGUCUAUUUGAAAUGUGGAAACAUAAGUUUUCCCUGAAAACAGUUAAAAUACAAUUGUAAUAUAGCUGCUGAAAUGAUAAUGCAAUGCCACCUUAGAGUCAUUCGGUCCAGGCCAAUAGGCACAGUAUAAGUAAUUAGACACCCUAUAACAGCAUUUGAUCAGAGGAUGCACACAAGACCGAAAGAGAAAUGAUAAACAAAACAGAAAACCGAAAUUCGGACCUCAUACGAUCUAAACUGACCAUGUAUAACAGAUAUCUCUCACCGGCCAUUAGGCUCAGCCAGCCUUGGCCUGCCACCCAUCUGGUCAAGAAACUUGGAGAGACGCAAAUGCUUUGCAACCCAUUGCUCGGUCAACUUCUGUUCCUUUGCUUCGGCAUCUCUCCUUAGCCCUGCUAAUUGUUCCCUGUAUUCUGCUUCAAUCCUAUCCAGAGCAGCCUUCUGCUCUUCCCUUAGAGCUUUCACCUUCGCCUCAAUCUCUUCCAUCUUCUCCCUCCUCCGACAAGCCUUCUCCGAUUCCAGUUGCAAUUCUACUCUCCUUAACCUCCAGGAUGCUUCCUUUUUAUGCGCUGCCCAAGCACGGUGCACUUCCUCCAACUCUCUUGAGCACUCUACCAACUCAGAUAUUACAAGGUUCUCUCCACAAACAGGAACUGAGCCAUGAUGUGGCAUAUUGCCCAAAACAAUACUAUUAUCUGAUCCUCUAUCAGGCUGCAGCCAAGGGAUUGGAGGAGAGGGUGCAACUGUUGGAGACAGACUCAGGGUAACAGACGGAGAUGGUGGCCUGACAUUGGAGGUCACAUUGGAAUUAGAAAGCCAAGGAGGAAGCAUCGUAGGCGCAGGAGAAGAUGUUUCAGUAUGAAGAUAGGACCCAUUUGAAGUAGCCAUGAGAUAUGAGGGGGCAGCACGCUCCUGCACUAGCUUCUCAGCAAAAGUUUCAAGAAUUCUAUCGUAUUUACCCUCGUCAACAGGGUCAACUGUCUUAUUGUUUUUCUGUUCUCUCUGCUGCUUCUCUUUGAACACUUCCCACCACUUACCCAAUCUCUUAGCAGUACGUCCAGGGACUUCAGCCGCAAUUUUCUUCCAUUUAUUACCGUGUUUGGCUUGAAGGCAAAUGACAAGGCGCUGCUCCUCUUCAGUAAGUGAUCCCUUCUUGAUGCCGGGCUUGAGAUAAUUCUUCCACCUUUCUAAGCAAGAUUUGGCAUCCCUGUUUAGGGGCGUAUUCAUGCGCUGUGAUACAAGGUUCCACUCCCUUGGUCCAUAUUGCUGCACAUACGCACGUAACAAAGCGUCCUCUUCAGCUCUCCAACGUUGUCUCUCCUUCAUUUCCAUGACCAAAUACAACUGCCCAUUGCUUCAAACCGAAACGCUUCAUAAUGUAUCUGGAAUCCAGAAAUCACCAUGUUAGUCCAUCUUCCACUGUGAUAUGAAUCAUGAUGAUAUGUUACCAAUGUCAAAAAUGAACUGAAUAGUGAGAUAGAAAGGGACUAAACUCUAGGCUAUGAAGAAAAGCUGAUAAGGCAACAAGCUGAUAGAAUUAAUAAAGGAUGGACCAACUAGUUGAAUGUUCUGUUUGAAACCACGAUAGCAAUUUCAUCAUCCAUUCAUGCUUUUAAUACAAGAAAACAAAGGAAAUACUGUAAUGCUCAGUGCCUUCCCCUUUUCACUUCAAUUGCUAACAGCCAAAUACAGAAAGCAGAACAGAACAACUCCUAGUAAGAAACCCUUUCCUUAUUAACAUAGUAAAUUGUAGACAGGAACAGGACACUAGCAAACUAUAAGAACAGGAUAUAUUUCAUAUUAGUAAAAUGAUGGAUAAUUAAAAAUUUUGCGCAUAUAUUUCAUAUUGUCUUUUGGUAAUUAGUAAUUUAUAAUUAAUAGGUCUUACUAUUUAUCGAAACCUACACUUAUAUAAUCCUUAUUCAUAGUAUAUAUACUCAGUAUAACAUACUGAUGUUAAUUAUAUAGUGAACUAUAAGAUAUCUUUAUGACAAUUAAGGUUCAAAAUUUUAACUUUAAACAAUAAACAACAGGUAAAGAAAUUAGAUAAAGGUACCCAAACUUGAUUACACACUAACACUAACAAUGAACAAAAACAAAAACGGACAAAUUACUAAGGGCUUGUUCGGUAACGUUUUAAGAGGUUGUUUUCAUUUUCAGAGAACAAAAAUUAGGUAAAAACACGUUCGGUAGCCCAAAACAAAAAACACUGAGAAUGUUUUCAUUUUAUGAAAACAAGUUCAUGUGUACUACUUGUAGAAAACAGAAAAAAGUUGUUUUCAUUCUCAUAGGAAACGUUUUCAUAAAAAUAACUCACGUAUUAUUAUUUCAAAUUGUACUGCCAGACACGUUUUCAUUGUUUUUGUUUUCUGAAGAUAUUUUCUACCAGACGGGCUCUAAAAUUUCGAAAAAUAUGCUCCAAUAUUCAGCUAAAUACCCCAACACUACAUUAGAUGCAAAACCCAAAAUGCCAAAAUUGAGAACAAAAAUAAUCAACCACUGAAGAAAAACAAAACUAAGAGUGAAAACCCCCACUGAUUUUAUCCCAGUACAUGGCGCUGGAAAUUGUCCUGCUGACUGGGUUGGGGACUGGGGAUGUGAUGAGAUAUUUUCCACAGGAGAGAAAUUUGUUUUCUUCUCUGUGUUUCUUAAAAAAUUAUCUGUGAGAACUACCCACACCUACUUCAUCCAGACCAUCAAAUUCAUUCACCAAACAGAAGUACAACAAUUACUUCGAGAAAUGAGACAAUACAGAAGUAGCCAUCACCAACUAUGCAAAGCAUUGUUACUAAAUCACUCUAUCACUAACUUUUCGCAUCAUUUUAAAAAUAAAACAGAGAGUGAGGUUGCAGAUAAAACUAAGAACAACCCCAAGAAACUUGUUUUGAAAAGAGAGAAAAAAAAAAAAACUUUCUUACGAACCAAAACGACAUCCCCAUAACCCAACAAAGCAAAUUGCAGAGUAAAAGAAAACUAGAAACUUUUUCAACAAUCAAUGACAGGAAGCAGGUACUCGUUUAUAAGUUGGGAACUUUAUCUCUCUUUAUCUUUCAAUGCUUUGCAUAAUGAGAUGAAAUGCGGAAAUUAAGAGAGAGAGAGAGAGAGAGAGAGAGAGAGAGAGAGAGAGAAGCUUACAUGUCUGCUUAACUGCACCAAAGAACCAAGCUUGGUCUUCGACGCAUCUCCUCCAACCAAACUGCUAAUAAUAAUAAUAAUACGACUGUUGUUGGGAUGAGGAAACAGAGAAAGAUAAAAUUUUGUUUUUGCUAAAGAGAGGGAGAAUGAAAAAGGGUGGAGACUCAAACUCCAAAACAACCCUAGAGGGAGAAAAAAUCCCAGGCUAGAGAGAGAGAGAGAAAAAAAAAAGGACAGAAGAGACUAGACUUAUGUGAAGAGAGAGAGAGGGAGGAGAGAGAUCUGACAGAGAGCGUAAAAGGAGGGCACGCGAAUGGAGCGCCAAGGAGGCAAAUGCAGACCACAGCCCAGCCGAUGACGUCGUUUUAAGGGGAAUUUGCAAUAUCAUCAAGCCACAAAACAAAAUAAAAAAUAAAUAAAACAAACAAGAAAAGAAAAGCUAAGGUCUACUCUACUGCUCCAGUACUGUGUUGUGUGUCAUCUUCACCAACCAUGGCCCCUGCCUCAACGACUCAACGACAAUUCAAUACUCACACACAUAAAAACAUAAAAACAUAAAAAUCAAAAUGAAAACUAAAAAGGCUGCAAACUUUUGCUAGAGAGAGACAGAGAGAGAGACGCGUACGCUCGAUUUCAGCGCAUAUAUCUCCUCCUUUGUGUCAUUUGGCGUCGUUGGGUGGAUCAUAAUAUUUCAUCAGUGUUUCGCGGGAGUAAGCAAAGCUACUACGAUUACGUGCAAUUAUUAUCAUAAUAAUACAGCUAACGAGACGCAGAGAGGUCUUUGGGCCCAUGGGUCGGGCAUUGGGUACGUGGGCCUUGCCCGUGUUUCAUGAUUCGGGUGAUUCAUUCACAUUUGAUGCCACCUGCGACAGGGAGGGUGGCAAACGUACUAUGGAGGAUAGGACCGCAUUUUUCACAUUAUUGGGUUGCGGGCCAUAUGAUUGCACGUGUCUCGUUUAAGCACCUUUAGGUCACAUUUGAUGGGUUUGACUAUUUUGUUUAAAAUUAUAAGAGUAUUGACUGUUAGUUAACGAGGUCUAAUCUAGUGGUAAAUAGUUGUAAUUAGCAGAUAAGUGGUUUUAGAUUUAAAAUUUUAUAGCAUCUUGGUAGUGUAUACGUGAGAAACCCUUAUCCUUUUUAGUUUAGACUAUCCUUCUAUUUGGUGUGUUGAGACUGUACUUCUUCAAUUAAACAUCCGUCCAACAAAGCAUGUGUCUCAUCUAAGCUACUUAACAACACAUUUAAUUGUUUAAUGUGUACAAGAAUCAUGACUAUUGUUUAAUAUAUUGAUACUAAACGUAUGAAAUUAAAUAGCAGUCCAACAUAUUAUGUCUUACAAAUCUUAAAUAGAAAAAUAAAAAUCAUACUGAUUGGUUUCAACUCAACUUCAAUCCAAUAUAAGCCCGACCAUUAAACAAGACAAGACCCUUCGCAACUUUCCAACAAAAUCAAGCUUAAAGUUGUAAUCGGUCAAAUUAUAAUGCAUGAAUUUAGUAAUGUCACACACAAUAAUUUUUCAUUAUUUGUUGUUAUUUUGUAUGAUAUGAAGGGUACAAUUAUGAGCAUGGAACCCCCAUGCACGCUGUGAGAUCUGACCGUCGGUUGAAGAAGGGGGAAAAGAUGAGAAUGACUGAAUUCCAAUUCCAUUACGUCAGGAUGCUCACAGAAGAGACAGGGGUUGCUUGGGUUCCUCUAGGUAAGCUCGCACCGUCUUAUUCAGCACCCCAUCGUCCAUCGCUCUGCUAAACAAAGACCUCCUACGAUCCUAGGGUCAACAGCGUAGAUGAUAGAGUAGGAGAGCAGGGCAGGGAAGCAGGCGCAGCAGGGGAUUAAAAAGGAGAAAAGAGAGAAAAAGCCAUCAUUAGGAUGGGGUGGGCCCCAGACGAGGUGUGGUGGGGGGGACUGUAGUCCGGGUUUCACGGCACAAGGAGACGAGUCUGAUUGAGACGCGACCUUCUGAUCCUGCUCAGAACCCCCCCCCUCAGUUGUCAGUGAUACGUUACGUCCCUUUUUUUUUUUUCCCCCUAUUUUCCUAAUUUUAAUAAUUUUUUAAAUAAAUAAAAAAUGCCCCUUUCUAUCUCUCUCUUUGUGUCUCUGUCUUUUUACUCUUUUCUGGGUCUUUUAUUUUGGGGUUGACAGCGCCAGUGAGAAAAAAACCCAACCAGACCACCACUUGCCCAUCUCACAUUCUUUUUCUUAAUCUCCCCCCCUGCCAUCACCAACCCACCCUCCAUUUACUCAACUUACCCCCCCCCUCCCCUCGUCCUCAUCACUGAUAAGAUUCCCCUCUGCGUCCUCCUCAUUAUUUCUACAUUACACAACAUAUAUUUGUGGCAAAUGGAAAACCAAGCAAAACAAUUGAUCAUUUGGUCUUGCAUUGCAUUGCAUUGUCUCAAGGCCGUAAUUCUUCUCUUGUCUUUAUAUAAAAUGAGAAUUAAAUAUAGUGCCAAAGUCUUUUUGUUUACUGCUUGUUGACUUGGAUAAAGUUUAGGGGCUUUCGUCAAUGGGUUAUAUAUUAAUAAUACACCAAAAACUAUAUGCUAAAAACUACAAUAAGAUUGAAAGUGACACCAAAUAAUAAUAAUAAUAAAUAGUUGAACUUAGAAAACCAAGAGCUAGCGCUUGAAGGAAUUUUAGAAAAGAGGACUGCUUAGGUUUUAAAGGUGUGGAGAAUGUACCUUUGAUGAUGGUCCCAUAUCACAUGGAUCUUCCCGGCAAUAUUGAUCAAUGCUCCUACUUUAAGGCAACACUCACCUCCCUUACUAUAAAGUUAUUGGAAAAUCACGACAUGAUUUGGAAGUCAUUUCUACCUAUGAACUUUUUGUGAGUGAUUUAGAGUUUAAGUGGUUAAGAAUAUUUAUUUGUGCACUCGAAAUUUUAUGUUCGAUUCUCUUUUUUUUUAAUAUCGCUUGUAUAAAAAGGUAAAAAAUCUAUGAACAUUAUAAUAUCUCAAAAUACCGCGACAUAAUUUGAGACCGAACGGAACGAUACUAUACCCUUAUAAUAAUUAAGUUUGUUCUUCACACAUCAGAGAAUUGAAUGAGUAUGUGAUUCCUUUCUUCUGUCACUUUCCAAGUUGAAAUCAAUGAUAAUUUCAAAUGAGACCUUUUUUAUCCUGUUGGAGAUUGGGUUAAUUAAUUUUUUUUUACUGUAGAUGUGAGAUACGACCUGAAGAAUCACUGUUGCAGAAAGUCGCUGAUUUCCUUGUCGUUUUUGCUAGAGUAGUAGCAGUUUUGCAGUGCAGAGAGAGCAGAGGGGUGGGUUUUGAUGAGACAAGUACAGCAGCAGCUACAGAAGGGCAACCUUGGAAUUUUACAAAAAAUUCCUGAAAUGACACAUCAAAGCAUCAAACAUAACAUUUAUAUAUAUUUGUAUAAAAUUGAGGGGAGAUCCUCCCCUAUAAAAUCUCCCUCUCUGAGCCCCCUGACCCUACCCUCUGCAUUUUCUCUGAAAAGCUACUUCUUCUUUUUGUGGUAGGAAAUGACUCAUAUAUCAUUUAUCGCAGUAAAAAAAAUAAAAAUACAAAAAUGAGUAAAGUGUGCAAAGUAGAAGGUGCAUUUAGUAUAGGGAUUGGUGUGAAGGGGAAAGAGAGAGGUUACAAAAGAAAGGCUGUGUGUGAUUGAGUGAGUGAGUCUCCAUUUAACCUGAGUUGUUGCUGUGACUCUGGUUUUAGGCUUUUUCCCCAACUUGGUUGGGUGAAAGGGAAACAUCUCAGAUCCCUUUCAACAAAUUCCAUACUUUCUUUAUGUAAAACCCAACUUGCUUCACUUGUCCUCACAUUCAUGUUGAUUUUGUUAGUACUGUUUGCUACCUUCAAAGCCCAAGAGAAAUAGUUCACACCAAUUGGGCCAAGCCCAAACUUGUAUCCAGAUUAAUUAAAAGGUGUUUUCCUCAUUUUUUAAUAUAUAUAUAUAUAAGAGUAUUUCCACUGGGAAGCCCCAGCCCGAGCAAGAGGCCCCCCUAGGCCCCCAAAUAUGUUUCCAGCACCCAAUUCUAAUCAGGGUAAAAGCUGGUCUCCACCAACUUGGGCAAGCUCAAAGGCACGACUUGCAUGGGCUGCUACCUGGGCAAGCUGACUUAAUACUAACGUCAUUGUGACGUCAGUAGCCAAUUUAAAUAACAUAAAAAAUUGAAAAACCAAAACCAAAAUUUUCAGAAUUUUUUUGUUUAUAAAUACCUAGUCAUAUUCUUCACUUCUCACACCAAAACUCUAUACAAAUUCAUCUCCUCAUAUCUCAUGUAAAUAGUGGUUGUCAUGGCAAUGGGUGAAAAACCAACAAAAAAAUUGUUAGAGCAAGCACUAUUCAUGUGAAUAAUAACAGCCUUUAUCUCCCGUUUCCUUUUGUCAUGACAAAUAGGAGGAAAUGCUCUAAGAGAAUUGUGAAAGCAAACUAACUCCAACAAGGUUUGUCAAUGAUCAUUUUAUCAAGUGAUACACUAUUUUUGUUUUAUUUCAGACGCUCUUGAGUUUGAAUUUUAUUGACGAUAUUUGUUGUAUCAAGUUAAAAACAAAUAAGCUGAGUUCAAACCUUAGUGGCGUACGAACGCAGUGACUCAUAUUACGUGUCGAGUACAAGCACGAGCCCAACCCUGUCUAGGUAGGGGUGAAGCCCGACCCAAAUUCUUGUAAACCUUCCUUAGCAUAUAUAGCCCAGCCCAGCUUCUUUAAAAAAAUAAAUAUAAAAAUAAUAGCCCAGCUUAUAUCCUAUAUACCCAAUCCGAUUUUAUCCCAUAACAGCCUUCUUCUCUCUCCAACCAAGAGCCAAAACGUGUGACAUUGUCUGCUCAUCUCCACCACUUCUCCUGUGCGUGCUCACUUCUUUUUCUUUUUUUCUUUUUUUGUCUUUUUCUUUCUCCUGUUUUCCUUCUUCUUGCACACUACUUUUUCUUGUGAUUUAAUUAUAAGACUAUUUCAAAAUUUUGAUUUAGUGAUCUAGAAUACUGUUUUUUUAUUUUUUUGCAAUUGAUGUGUAAUAUAUAAAUUUAUAUGUGUUACUCUGUAGGAAGUUUUUACUUAUUUAUGAAAGUUGUAUUUUUUUUCUUAUCAAUGAAAUUCACUCGUAUCGUUGAGUUCUAUUUGAUGUAUAAUUGGGAAAGUUUUUGAGAAUGUAAUUGAAGAUGUAGGAGUAAAUAAUACAAGUGUUUAUUGUGUUAUAUACAAAUUAGAAAAUAUCAUUUAAAAAUAAAAUAGACUAUCGAAAUUUGAAUAAAAAUUUUCCGAUUGGAAAAUUGGCCUAAAAGUUAACCCUAGUUAUUUUUAAAUCCUGAAUCCGUACCUGAUUGAGUAUGGUUGAAUCUAUAUAUAUAAAGCAAAAGGCAGAUAAUGGUGAAACAUUCCAAAUAUCAGAAAAUGCCCUUGAUUAAUGCAAACAUUAAGAAUUCAAAUUAUUAAUUAAAUGAGGAUAAUACGGUAAAUUCACACUUUUUCAUAUUUUAAAAAAGAAAAAGAAAAAGAAAAAGCAGAUAAUGAAUCAUAUUUUUAUGGAACACAACUACCCAUUAUGUUUUUUUAAUUCUAAAAUAAAUUUAAAUUUUUUUAAAAAAAAGUCUCUCGCAAGCGCGUGCGGAAAGACUAGUAUUUACUAAUACUGUACUCUAAAGUAGAAAGUGACAUCCAUUCAUAUGAUGAUAUAACAAUACACAAACGUCUUAUACCAAGUGACCAUGUUUCAAUACCACCUGAUAAUUUUUCAUAUGCAUCCACCUUUUACGUCAAUAGUUUGGACAACCGUCGUGAAUUUUCUCCGACAUCAUUCAAACAUUGAUACCGUAGAACAUAAAAAUAAAAAGCUAACGUGGGGACCUUACUUUGGCCUAAUUAGAAGGGACAAUGAGACGUGAUUGCUUUUUAUUACUAUUUUCAUUUAUUUAUUAGGUGAGAAACUAAGAAAUAAAUUGAUUUUCUCGCGUCAGUUUUGAAGCCACACCAUGUUUUUUUGUUCAAAUUUCUGUGAAAUUGGUGCAAUAAUAAAAGUAAGAAAAUAAUUUCCAAUUUUUUUUUAAAAAAAGAGUAAGAAAUAAGUUUGGAGAACCCAUCAACUUAUUAAUUUUAAAUUCUUAAUAAAUUCCAGCAAGGUCACCUUUAUUAGUCUAAUCUACAUAUCUAGAAGGAGAUCCAAAUUUCAAAAAAAGAAGCUUCCCAGCAACCCCAACACUGACUUAUUCCUCCAAACGUGCACGUUAUGGAUAGGCCAUCGAACUCAGAUUAAUUCAAGAAAUGGUCAGAAAUUGAUUAAUUAGGUGUAAUUAAAUAAGUAAAUAAACACGCAAUUUGACUAAUAAUCAUUGAGUAGAUGCCAUUACAGAAACAAGGGAAUGGUCUGAAAAUUGAUUAACAAUGAAUGAGAAUCUACAAAAGCACACCGACAACUCCAACCAGCAUAUUAUUCAUGCCUCCGCGUGACAAGUUUAACAAAAACAUGCGGCAAACACAAUAAGCAUCAGCCCUCCAUCACAACCAUCCGAACAUCAUAACUAGUUAUCAAGUAGCUGAUUAAUUAGAGAAAAAAAGAGGGAAACGAUUGUGUUGUCGCCACUAACUUAUCCAUUUCGGAUUUAUGUGAGUGAGUAAUUCUUUUACAUGAUUGUUAUAUUGCCGUGUGUCAUGACACUGUGAUAGUUGCGUAUUAGAAUUUUUUCAUAUAAAAAGAGAAAUAAAGAUAGAAUUGCAAGUGAACCCGAAAAAAAAAGGAAUUUUUCCCCAACAUUUUAACAAAAUCACAUCAGAAUAUCAUUUUAAGAAAUUUUAUAUGACUAUUGAUUCUGAUUUCCAACUGUGUAACAUAACUGAAUCCCUUAACAGAACAUCAUUAUUAAUAAAUCUAAUCUACUCAGUAAAUUUUUUUAAUGAAAAUUAGCACACAAAGAAACAAAAUGUAAAGAAAAUUAAUAUUCCUCAUUUAAAAUGCCAAUAAAUGUGUUAGUUGCAGUAGAAGACAGAGAAUCUAAAAAGCAAGUCAACCGUCUAUUGCUCUGUGCUUCCCGAAGGUCUACAAAGGCAACACAGAAGCUCCAAUGGCAAAGGCUCAAAGGACCCUCUCUAUUUUCUUCCUCGUUUUUUGUUAGCUUCUCCUCCGAAAACAAAACCAAAAGAAGCAAAAGGAACCCAAUAGCAUCAAUUAUCUAUACUAGCAGCUAUAGCUAGGAUAUCUGUAAAAGAAAAAAGUGUGAUCUUUUUCGUGUCUGAAUUGAACUUGGGUUCAGUAUACAUGUCUUUUUCUGGGGAGAGGGUAAAAAGCUUGUUGGGAGAUUGUACCCAGAAAAGAAAAUAUCAGUCUGGCACAAAAUCUCUGUUUUCUCACGAGCCUUCAUAUUGAGUUUGGUUGAGGUUCUCUGCAUUUCAAGACUUUGUUUUGUUUUGCUUGUUGAAUUUGUUUGAAAGCUGGGGAGAUAGAGAUUUGGGAAACAUUUGUUUGGAUGGGGGUUUGCUGGAGCAACAAAAUCAAGGCUGAAACUCCUUCUCAUACAGGUAUUGCUAUUCUUUCUUGGAAAAUGAACUCUGUUACUACUUUCAUCAGAGAAUAUGAAAAUUAUGAUUUCCUGAAUGUCUUCUUUUUGUUUGGUUAGAUGGGUUUGUUAUUUUGAGGUAGUUUUAUAGGAUUUUAAUUGAAGCUAUAAGUUUUUGUUGCUAGGACUUUGUAAGCUUACCAAGGAUUUUGAUAAUGCUUAAGAACAUUUUCCUCUAUGCUAUAAGCUAGAAAGUGCUUUUAGGGAACUAUCGAAUUGGUGGCACCAUGACUGUGUACAGUAUGUUUUCACUUUUCACCUCUGCCUAUUGAAGUGAACAUUUGGUAACAUAGGUCCAUUGGAUUACUUUCUCUGUAGGAUUCAAUUCUAAAAAUGGGAGUGCUUCAAAUAGCAAGGCGUCAUCAGGUUCCAUGCCUGUCACUCCUCGGAGUGAGGGUGAGAUCUUACAAUCUACUAAAUUGAAGAGUAUCGGCUUCAGUGAGCUCAAAAAUGCCACAAGAAACUUCCGUCCUGACAGUGUACUAGGAGAUGGCGGUUUUGGUUCUGUUUUCAAAGGUUGGAUUGAUGAAAGUUCUUUCAUAGCUACCAAGGCCGGUACUGGCAUGGUGAUUGCCGUGAAGAGGCUCAACCAAGAUGGAAUCCAGGGUCACAAGGAAUGGUUGGUGAGUGCAGUCAUCUCCUUUUCAUCUUUAUGAGUUUUGAUGGUCUGGUUUAUUUACUUGUGUGCAUUGUACGCUUAAAACUUCAUGUCAUAGUAGUUUAUGGCUCUUUAAAUUAGGAGAAACUUGCAAUAAGAAGUUCUCCAUAUCACCUAACUGUAACUCUUCUAUGCCUUGCAAUUCUUGGCUAGAGUAUUGAUUGUCAAUUUGGCAUGAUUUUUGGAGCAUUUCUCAAAUAGCAGAGUAAUGAACACUACAUUUUGGACCUGCAGACAGAAAUCAACUAUCUUGGGGAGCUGCAUCACCCUAAUCUUGUGAAAUUAAUUGGUUAUUGCUUAGAGGAUGAUCAUCGGCUCUUAGUUUACGAGUUCAUGCCUAAGGGUAGCAUGGAAAAUCAUCUAUUCAGGAGUGAGUUUCUUACAUCUUCAAUAGUGGCAUUCAUUUUGAACCUCUCUCUCUCCCCCUCCUUUUUUCUCCUUAGAGAUAGCACACAGCAAGUUGCCUAUAAUAACUUGUUACUGAAGCAUUAGCUACUGCUGCAACAGGAAGUUCUCACUUUCAGCCACUAUCUUGGAGCCUUAGAAUGAAAAUCGCCCUUGGUGCUGCAAGGGGACUUGCUUUUCUCCACAAUGCUGAAACACAAGUCAUACAUCGUGACUUCAAGUCGGCUAACAUUUUGCUCGACUCGGUACGUAACUCAAUAGCAUACUUUAAUCAGAUUCAGUAUGGCUGAUCGUUUGCCUCCGUACUGACUCAUUAUUACAAUUUCAGAACUACAAUGCAAAGCUGUCUGAUUUUGGAUUAGCCAGGGAUGGCCCAACUGGUGACAAGAGCCAUGUCUCUACUAGGGUCAUUGGAACUCAAGGAUAUGCUGCUCCUGAGUAUUUAGCCACAGGUACUACUUUCAUAUUCAUUUCUUCUCUAAAAUCCUUGACCUGUAUGGAACCUCUUUGGCUUCUAGAAACCAAGCACCACUCCAAGUUUCAUGCUUUAGAUGACAUUUCAAUUUUCUGAGAUGCACUUUUGCAGAGCUAAAACUGUUUGUCCAAAAUAAUUUAAAAUUUGUUAUUCAUAAAGCAUUUGCCAAGUAAGGUUAUACCUACUGUUGAAGAAGUACGAAUAUGUGUAGCUUAUCAACCUUAGUUGACAAUAGUUCUGCAUUCAUGAAGUUAGUCUAUUAACGUUACCCUCAGAAAAUAUCUGCCCUGUAAAUCUUAAAAGAGGAUAGGGGUGGGACAAGUUCCGUUAGUUAAUUCCAUGAAGUACACCAAUUCCCAGUAACUUCUCCAACAUCAAAAGCCCAAAAAUAAUCUGUCAAAUAACCUACGUUCAAUUGUUGACCACUGAUGGAAUGUGGGUGCAAUUGCCAAAGCUUGGUAUUAUAGAGCCAAAGUACAGUUAGUGCUUACAAUUAAUUGCAUGUUUUCUUCGGCAGGUCAUCUUACUGCCAAGAGUGACAUAUACAGUUUUGGAGUUGUUCUACUAGAAAUGUUAUCCGGACGACGAGCUAUAGAUAAGAACAGACCAACUGGAGAACACAACCUGGUGGAGUGGGCAAAACCAUACCUGAGAAACAAACGCCGGGUUUUUCGUGUUAUUGAUUCUCGACUUGAAGGCCAGUACUCACUCAAUCGGGCCCAAAAGGCUGCCAACCUUGCACUUCAAUGUCUUUCUAUAGAUCCUAAGUACAGACCCGACGUGAACGAAGUGGUAACAACACUGGAGGAGCUUCAGGAGACAAAGGACAUGCAGAAAAGUACUCAGAAAGAGAACCAUGUAACUAGUCAUGGCCAUUCUAACGGUGCUCCUAAUGCUUCCAGAGUGACUGCUUAUCCCAGGCCUUCUGCAUCCCCACUUUUUGCUUGAGAGAAAUUUUUCAUGCUGCCCAAGAUACUAGGGAAGGUGUUGAGUGAAGUCAUGAGAGUUCAAAUUUGUACAUAGGCAAGAUUGUUCUUGUUGAGUAUGAAGUGGUUGUGUAUAAAUAUGUAUUUGAGCCUAUACUGUCCAAAUAUUUUCUGGUUAUUUUCUCACAGAACCAUUGAAGGUACAUGCAUAGUUCUGUUCAGGAUUGUGUGUGAAGUCUGAUUGAGCUCAUUGAGUAUUUUUGGUUCCUUUAGAAAUUAUGUGACCUUGUUAAAAUCCUCCAUGAAGGCAUAGUCUGGAUAUUGGAUUUUUUUUUUCUUCACUUUUUUUUUAUUGCGGAUAGAUGGUUGAGGAUAUUGAAGGUAAUUAUCUUCUCAAAUUCGAAUGGAUCAAAAUUGUAACAACCAUUCCUCUUUCCCGCAAAAUGUACCUCCUAGUUAUGCUUUACUGGGACUCGAACCCAAGCUAAUAACCAGAGACUUCAGUCCUAGCCAAAAUCGACUGGGCUCACUGUUUUUUAGUUAUUUGUUGGUUUUAUUGUGCUUAUACAAUGUACUUAAUUGUUAAAAUUGAGAUCACAGCGGCAAACAUGCCUUACGAUUGAAAUCACAGGGUACCAAACUCAAAUUGAACUCUUUUUAAUUAUGAAGUUGACGUCUAACCAUGACAAAAGAAGAGGAGGAAAGUCGUUCUCUUACGAAGAGUUACCAAAACUUGUAAUGAAAACAAGAGACUAUUUACUUGAAUAAAAGAUGGUCAAGUAACAUCCUUGAGAGCAAUAAAGUGUAAUUUGAAUAAGAUAGCCAUGGACUACUAUAGGCAAAGAUAAACCAAUAAAGCCAAGUGAGAGAAGUAUGGAAGCAGUGUUGUGAUACCACUGCAUACUAGAUCUUGGGAUCGGGGUCUCUGAAAUCUUUAUUGGGUUGCUGACAAGUAAGUCCACCUUCUUCAAACCUCUGAUGCAGUUCAUUUGCUACAGCCUCUGAGAUAUUGGUGUUAAUUCUUCUUCCUUAGUUUUAUUGAGGUUUCUAUCCUAUAGGCCAACAUUAGUAAGCAUGAUGAACACAAGAGCAAGAUAUAUCUUACUCUUGUGUUCAUCUCGGAAAACAUUGCAAAAAUUGAACUAUCAACAUCAUUGUUUUCGGUGUUUCUGAGAGACAGUGAUGGUAGUUUCCUUUUUCAAGUUUUAUUGAGGAUACUAGCCUUCACAAAAUUAAAAAAAACCAAAUGAAAAUAAGGUUGUGCCGGAAAGCGGAAGUCAAAUAAACCCUGGAGCCCUGAAGAUGAGGACCAAACCAAAAUCUUUGUUGGAGCAAAUCUCAACACCGACAAGAAAUCGUCAUCCCAAAAAAUCGACAUUGUUGGUUCACUGAAUGAAUGAUUGGUGCGGCACGAUUUUGAUUUUUGAGGGGAUAGAGUCGAGGCGGCGAGGAAGAAGAAAGAUAAUAAAAAAAUGAAGAUGAGAGAUAAUGAGAAGGGAAAGAUAGUCACGAAGAGGAGAGAGAAGAAACGACUACAAAGGAAAGAAAAGCUUUUCUUUCUCGCAAAUGUGGUGGUUGCACCCUCAAAAUAAGGAUAAGAUGACUUUAUAGCUAUACCAAGCAAGAAAUAAGAAUAAGAUGACUUUAUAACUAUGCCAAGCAGGAAAUAAAUGACUAAAACAAAACAUAAACUCACGCAAAUACACCCAAUGGACAUGUGAAAUCGGUGAUGACAUGCGUAUGUGUAAUACACUAUGCCACUAAGCAAGAAAAGUGGAUGUGGAAAGAAAUUUGUGAUCCCAAAAUUAAAAGGUCUAUGGCAAGGGAAAAAAAUUGAGCAAGAUAAGCGGCGAGAAGAGUGUAUGUUAGUAAAGUGAUUGAAUUGAUAUGUAGGGGUAUUUUAGGAUAAACGACCUUAUUAUUAUCAAAAAAAUUUCGCGAGUGAGAACACUGGCGGGAACUAGCAACAACCUUCAAAAAAUAAUAAUAAUGUGAUUGACCUCCAUUUUGCUCAUAAUAUUUAUUUUACUUUUAUUUAAUUAUUUAUAUAUCUGCUUCUAGUAUGAAUAUUAUGAAGAUAUCCAAAUUCAUCUAAUUUGGAUUUAAAAGAACCCAAAAUUAGCUAUAUGUCAUUUAUUUAAUUAUAUUAUUUUAUAUGAAAUCCCUUUUUUUUUAUUAGCCUUUUGGAUGAAUUUGAUAGACAAAGAGCCCAAAUCUGCCAGCUAGGUUAAAUUUAGAGGGAAAAGACCAUCAACUGGGUAGAUUUAGACAAAAAACAGCUGCUUGGUUUUUGAGUUAUCGACUUGUCUAUAGACAGCGCAUUUUGAUGUCAUGUACGGUCAUGGCCCUAGAAUUAACACAAAAGAAAAAGAAAAUGGGAGCCUGAGUAAAUUCCUAAUAUUCAGAAAAAGGUAGCUUGAGAAUGGUAAGAGAGAUUGGGAGUGAGAAAUUUUGGCAAUAAAUUUUCAAAUCUUCACUGUAAUUCUCAAUCUCUCUUCAAUCUAUAUCUCUCUCUAAUCUUUGCUCUAUAAUAUCUCUCUUUUUCUCUCUAUCAAUCUUCUCUGUAAUUCGGUUGGAACGCUAGGGUUUUGGUUGAGCUUUGUACUUCAAAUCUUGAAUUUUCAGUUUGAUCCGUACCCAAAAUGUCAACAAUGUAAGCGUCAAACGGGUCAUGUCGGGCUGAGCCGACCUAUUUUGAGUUUGUCAAUUGAAUAAAUGAGUCCUGCCGGGCCCAUGCAUUUAUGAAAAUCAUCAAUCUAAGCAUGAGCCCCCAGCCUUAGCCCAUAUGGGAUCGGGUCGUGCUCGUGACGAGCCUUUAAACAGGCCAAUAUGGGACCAUGCCAAAUUUGACUUAUGUAUUGCUUCUUCUUUUUUAUAAUUUAGUUUUUCCAAUUUCAUUUUUAUAUAUUUUAUAAUUACGUAUAUACUAACAAGAUUUAUUAUUUGUUGAAAAAAGAGGCCAAUAACUUUAUUUAAAGUAUAUUUAAAUAGAAAAUGACUAGAAUAUUGUUUGAGUUUUAAAAAAUUGAAACUUGAAAAAAAACAUCAUUAUUUUAUAUAUAAAGAAACCAUUAAUUUUAAUAUAUAUAUAUAUAUAAAUUAUUAAAGAAAAGAGAUAUUAUUGAAUUUAAGAUAUAAAUAUAAUAAUAUUAUGUAUUACUUUUUUUCUAAAACAAAUAUAAUUUAAUAAAUGGGCUUUAAACACGAACCUUGACCAUGACAGUUGAAGCGGGCCGUGCUUGUGUCAUUGGCGAUCAAAGAUUUGAAAAUUCUUUCCUUGAUUUAGGUGCUUCUUUUAAUCUAAUGCCUUAUUCGUUUAUUCAUGUUGUGUUUGUGUCAAAACGUUUUUCUUAACAGGUUGACACGACACGACACGUUAAGAAAACAGGUAAAAAAUAUCAAACACAAACAACACCUGUUGCAAUUCACGAAUCACACGACACAACCGUUUCACCCGUUAAGAAUUAAAAAUUAAAUUAAAAAAUAAUAUAAACAAUUAAACAAUUAAAAAAAAUCUACUAGCACAGUGCGUUGUCGUCCAAACCCUCAUCACCACCGUCAUCACACUCUCUUCUCUCAUACUCCCGAAAUUUCUUCAUCAUCUGAAUCGUGUCGUCAUUCGUGAGCCAAAGUUGUGCCCUUGCUGUAGCCAGGAGCUGCCGAGUUGGCGCCGCUAGCCACCUAAUGAGUUGUAGUUGUGCUUCUGGAAGGCCUUUACCAACCCAACACAAUAGCUCCCAAGCUUUGGGCCACGAUGUAAGCCGCAUUUCUAAUCAAUUUGGGGGAGGGGGAGGAGAGAGAAAAAGACAAAAAGAAAUAUAUGAAAUUACAAAAAUAUUCAUAUCCUUAAUGGGUUAACGGGUGAUUCGUGAAUUACACUGAUAUGACCUGUUAGCUUAACGGAUGGCUAAUAGAUCAACCAAUUAUCAACACAACCUGUUAAUUCAAACCCGAAUACUAAAUUUUUCGUGCGAAUUCGUGUCGUGUACAAUGUUGUCACGUCUAGAAAUUAGGUGAUCUUAAAACAACUUAUAUGAGCAUGCAAUUGGCAGAUCAUUCCAUAAGGUAUCUAAGAGGAAUCCUAGAAGAUGUGCUUGUGCAAAUGAAUGAUCUUAUCUUACCCGCUGAUUUCUUAAUUCUAGAAAUAGAAGAAGCUUCUAUUCCAGCUAUGGAUCUUCCAACCGCAUGUACCAAAAUUGAUGUUCAAACAGGAACCUUGACCAAGAAAGUUCAAGGGGAACCAUAGCCUUCAAGGUUUGAUGCUUUGAAACUCCUAAUGAAGAGCAUGAAAGUUUUUGUAUUGAUACAUUACAUCAAAUUGUACAGAGUAAUUUCAAUAAAGCUCAUGGUACGGAUUCAUUAGAGAGGGUUUUACACAAAAUUGUCAAGCCUCCGACAUUGAUGAAGAUGAGAUACAUGAGGUUGUGCAAUUCCUCAGCGCAUUACCAACCGUGUCAUGUAAGUAUCCUCCUACCUUUGAGCCCUUACCUGUCAAUACUGAAAAGCUUAUUCCUUCUCUUGUCAGAGCACCAGAAUUAGAGCUCAAACCAUUACCAUCACACCUUAAGUAUGUUUACUUAGGUGAAUCAAAGACAUUGUCCGUGAUUUUGCUUGCAACUUCAGUGAGCAAGAUGAGGAGUAUUGCGGACAUCAAGGAGAUAAGCCCCACAAAACGCAUGCACAUAUUGGAAGAUGAUUCCAAACCCACCAUAGAUGCUCAACUCAGGUUAAAUUCAAUCAUAAUCGAGGUGGUGCGCAAGGAAGUUCUUAAACGAUUGGAUGUGGGUAUCAUUUAUCCUAUUUUCUAUAGUAAGUGGGUAAGCCCGGUCCAAGUAGUUUCGAAAAAGUCGGGCGUCACUGUUGUGAAAAAUGAGGGAAAUGAACUUUUUCCUUCUCGUGUUCAAAUGGGAUGGUGUGUUUGCAUUGAUUACAUGAAGUUAAAUAUCGCUACUGGUAAGGAUCAUUUUUCAUUGCCAUUUAUUGAUCAAAUGCUUGAACGUCUUGCAUGUCACAAUUAUUAUUGUUUUUUGGUUGAAUAUUCAGGAUACAACCAAAUCGUUAUAGCUCCAGAAGACCAUAACAAGACAACAUUCACAUGUCCUUAUGACACAUUCACUUACUGGCGUAUAGUAUACCCUUUGAAUUAUGCAAUACAUCAGCCAUAUUCAAACGAUGCAUGAUUAGUACUUUCUCUGAUAUGGUAGAAAAGUUGAUCAAAGUAUUUUUAGUUGACUUCAUUUGAUUCAUGCCUUAACAGUUUGUCUCUAUUUUUGAAAAGAUGCCAGGAAUGCAACUUAAUUCUUAAUUGCGAGGAGUGCCAUUUUAUAGUACAACAAGGAAUUGUUUUUGGGUAUGUGAUUUCAAGUAAGGACAUUGAGGUUGACAAGCCCAAAGUUGAUGUGAUACGUAGCUUGCCACCUCCAUCAUCAGUGAGAGAUCCAAUCCUUCCUAGGAUAUGGAAAGUUUUCUAGAAGAUUCAUCACCGAAGCACUGGCAGAACUACUCCAAUGGCUUAGGUGGGCUGUAGAACAGUUAAAUUUUUGGGGGAAAAAAAUGAAGCCUAUAAUUGAGUUGCUUUAAAUAUAGCACAGUAUUUAUUAGCCUAUUAAAAUUCAAAAAAGUCAAAUUCUUUAUCAAUUUAGUAUAGGGCAACAAUAAAAAUAACUUAUCGUUUGACAACCCUCUCCCCCUACAGAGACCACGACUUUUUGUUUUCUCUACCCCAACAAACACUUCGACUGAAGGGUAAAGUCCUUAACCUUAUCUCUCCAACUCGUUAAAACAACUCUUAGCAACAAAAUGAAGAACGAGUUUCUAAAAUAUAUAUUUAUUGAUUCGAAUGUAAUAACAAAAAAUUUCAAUUCUCUCAAUGAUUGCAUGACACAAUUUGAAUAGAUACACUUUUAAUUAUGUUGUUGAAGUGUUUUUUGGUCGCAUUUAAUAUAUUUUUGUUUUAUGAUAAAGUUUAUUGAAAAUUAGUCAAUAAAAAUAGGAACUAGUGUGGUUUAUACGAUUUAAUGUAUAUUUGUAUUUAUAAAGCGAUUAUAAAAACGAUAAGUAAAAAAAAAUUAAUCAUUAAAUUUUAAGCUAACUUUAGAUAAUCCACUUAUUAAAAAAUUAUUUGUUCCGCACUUGCACCGAAGUGCAUGCACUGAAGGAUUUAUUGCGUGAGCAUUAACUUUAGGGAAAAUGAAAAGAAGAAUUUCUCCAACAACAACAAAAAAACAAGAAACGAAGAAGAAAAAAAGAAGGUUGACAUAGUUUCAGAGGGUUAAUCCCAAUAAUAAUACAAAAUGGGCUCGUGUUGCAUCAAUUGUUUGUGGGAAAGGAAAAAAUUGGAGGAAGAAAUCGAAAGUGACGACCACUUCUCCGGGUUUGUUAAAACUCGGCCACCCUAAAAAAUAAAAAAUAUUAAUAAAUUAAAUUAAAAGGUUUCCAACGCAUGCUGAUGUGGAAAUCUAUUAUUAAUCUAAUCAGGAAGCUAAUAUACUAGUAGACUAGGGAUUCCAUUUCCUUUUCUAAUCCAUAUUCAUAUUCCUAUAGGGUAAAUAAUUCUAAACAAAAUUACUGGUCCCAGUAGCCAGUAGGGUUUUUAUUCAUGUUCUUGUUGAAAUAGGACUUUGCCUUUAUAUAUCCCCUUGGUUCUCCCUACGGUUUCUAUCGAUCGAUCUGUUACAAAUCUGCUGCGUGUUCUGAGUCAGAAUGGAUGACGAAUCGAGUGGUACGGUGGUGAAGCUGCUAGUUCGUGGUCGAAAACGAUAUCGAAUAAAGUCAUAUACUUCAGAGCCAGAAAAGAAGAAAAUUAGGAAGGUAUUACAUGAAGGCGUCCUGGUAGAAAUUCUCUCAAAACUGCCUGCCAAGUCUGUACUCAGGUUUAGACGCGUCUCAAAAGAGUGGUAUGCUCUCACCAAAACUUCUUAUUUCAUUGCUAGACAUGACCUUCAUCGUCGCUCUCGCUCCGCUCAGAAUCAUGGUCUUCUCCUUGUCGCGAAAUAUCUCACCAAUGAAAAAUCUGAGAGACUUCUAAUGAUGUCAUUGCAUCCUCACUACUACAAAAAGUGAAAAAGACGACCAGAAAACAACGACGGUCUAAGUGAAAACCGUCGUGGUUUAUAAAAAGACGACGGUUCUAAAAACACCGUCGUGUAAUACAACCUUAGACAACUAAAAAAUGGAGUUUCAAAUGGCUGUUCAAAAACAACGACGUACAUAAUUAAACAACCGACGUCUAUUUGAAACAGAUUUCCUCAGUGUAAAAUCAAUGCCAACAAAGAACGGCAGAAGUUAUGAAUCGACCGACGUAGAAAGUAAAGACGACGAUUUCAAUAAAAACUGCCGUUUUUACUCAUAAAAUAACACGACGAGGUUUUCGUAUAAGACGCCGUAUAAUUACAAACAAAUCCACGGCUUUAAAAUACAAAAUAUCGCCGUAUUAAAUUAAUUUACAACGACGGAAAAUAUAAAUAUAUCGACGUCAUUCUCGUAUAGUUCUACUACGUUAUCUUUAAAUCGUACAAUAAAAUUUAUCGUCGUAUUUAUUCAUUUUAUACGUCGUACCUUUAAUUUUAACGGUCGUCUUAAUAAGAAUUUUUGUUAACAAUUUUUUUCUUUGAUUUUCUUAUCCUACGUCGGUAGAUCUACUUAAUGACAAGAAUUGAAAUAACCACGACGGUUUAUAUAGAACACCGCCGACAUAAUCAGUUUUGUCUGAGAUCCCAAGGGUUACGAAAUCUUACCAGAUGGAACUCUGUUCCACAUCAUAAUCUUAACAGAUGACACAGAUUUGCAAAUAUUGCGUCGUGUUAGUUUACAAAUUCUAGAACAUUAAUUUCCCUCAUUUUAAAUUUCCUCGGGAAAGAAAAAUCUAUUUAUCACGCUUUGGAAUUGAAAACUAAAACUGAAAGAAUACGGGAAAAAAAACUCCAUUUAUAAUUUAAAAUUAAAAUCCACGUCGGUUGUAGUACACUUAACGACGUUUAACAAAAUAAUCUACGUCGGUAAUUAUAAAUCUACCGCCAUCGUAACUUAAUAUAGACGACGAGAAAAGACGACGGUAGAACAGAAAACCGCCGUUGUUUCAGUUUCUUUAACAUAUCUUUCUGCAGGACUUGUGUAGUUCAAAGCAUUGACAAUGUCUUCAUCAUAUCUCCCAGAAACUACUGAUUCAAUUGCUCAUGCUUUAGAGGCCAUCUGAAGCCAUUUCUAUUCUUUAUCGCAUUCUUGAAACCCAUCUUCUUCUUCUGAAGCUCUACGGAUAAAGGAAGAGGCUAUCACAAUAAAUCCGACGGAUCUUCUUAGGCAAGAAAAUCAAGCAGAGGAUCAGGCACAUCUGAUCUUCAGAUUUCCCUGAGAAGCGAACUUUCCUUCGACAGCGAGUGGAGGCCAGGCUUGCAUCUCUUUUGAUGGAAAGCAAGGAGUAUUCAGAAGCACUAAGUGUCCUAUCAGGCUUGAUCAAGGAAGUGAGAAGGCUAGUUGACAAGCUUCUUCUUGUGGACAUAUAUUUGAUGCGAGUAAGCUCAAUUUCUCUUUGAGAAAACAUCCAAAUUAUUAUCUUUGAGACAUGAGAGACUGAGAGAGGAAGAACUUGGAACCUUAAAUGUAAACCGAAAAUGAAUGAAAGCGACAAAUUUAUAGAAUAAAUUUUUAAAACCAACGGCGGUCCUUACAAACAAACCGCCGUUUAAAUUGUAAAAUCAACGUCGGUAUGAUCGACGUAUAUUACAGAAAUCCACGUCGGUAAAUUAAUAAAAACGACGUGUUAAAUAAUAUACCAUGACGCGAGUUAUUACUUAUGUACUUUAAUUUUUGAGUUUACUACGACGGUACCUACAAACUACUGUCGUAUUUAUUUACCACGUCCGAAGUUAAAUGUACCGUCGUAUUUUGUAAUUUAUACGUCGUAGUUAUAUGUAACCGCCAUAUUAUUUUUUUGAAAUGGUUUUAUAUGUAAGCAACUUUUCGUCUACUUGACUUACACAUUUGUUGUUUUUAUAUUCUUAUUUUAUUUAAAUCUGUCAUCCAAAAAAGAAACUUUACAUAUUGCAGAAUAUUAAUUUCCUUCGUUUUAAAUUUCCUCCGGAAAAAAAACUCUAUUUAUAACGCACUGUAAUUGAAAAAUAAACUGAAAGGUCACGGGAAAAAAAAUUCUAUUCAUAAUUUAAAAAUUAAAAUCCACGUCGGUUAUAUUAAACCUAACGACGUUAAAUGAAAUGAUUCCACGUCGAAUGAAAAAUAUUGCGUCGUUUUAGUUAAAAACGACGUAGUUAAAUGUAACCGCCGUAUUAUUUUUUUGAAAUGGUUUUAUAUGUAAGCAACUUUUCGACUUACACAUGCACUGUUUCCAAACCCGAUUAAAAAUUUCAAUCUCCCAGAGAAACCUUUUCGUCUUUUUUCCUUGUCAGAGCAUUGUCAGAGUUUCUCAUCGUCUUCCUCUCGUCUUCUUCGUCGUCUCUGAACUUAAACAUCGAUCAUCUUCCUCUUGCUUUCAUUGCACGCAAAAGGUAAGCUUUCAUUUUCACUAUUUUGGUUACUGUUUUGCAUGCUCAUACGUUUUUUGUUUGAAAAAUCUUUUUACCUUUUUUCUGGCCAAAAUCAUUUUACUUCUUUCCAAGUUUGAUAAAAUAUACAGACAAAGAGAGAAAGUUUCCAACUUUGAAGACAACUACAUCAACUAAAUAAGACGACGGUAGACCACGACGGUUCGUCAGUUGUUCUAGCGUCGUCUGAAAAUUGACAAAGUUGUUUUUAAAAUAAUAGUCUUUUUUUAUAUGCUUGUUUAAUUGCAGGUUUGAUUUCGCUGAACAAUGGUUUUUGUUUUUCCCUUAUUUGAUAAAAUAUAAAGAAAAAGAAACUAGGGUUGGUAUCUAAUAUAGACGAUAAAAUAUAAAUAAUAGUUUACCACGACGGUGUAUUACUAUUGACGUCGUGUGAACAUAUAUACCACGACGUUAUAUAAAUAAUGGUUUUAAACAUUUAUUACGUCUGAGAUUAUUUCAUUGCGUCGUCUAAAAUCAUAUCAUACGUCGUAUUUUUUUAAUACCGUCGUUUGUGUUCUUAAUGUUUUCCUGAAAUAUUUUCACUUGCAGUUUUGUCUGUUAAAAUGGUUUCUCAACAACAAACUAAGGAUUCUGGCUCCAAGAAGCUUGGAAUGGUAGCUCCUCAAGAUAAGUCUUCGAAGGAGAUGAAGUCUUCGAAGAAGAUGAAGUUUGCUUCAUCAUCUGCUGAGACAGAACAAACCAGCCAGACAACAAUCUCAGAUGAUUCAAAGACUGGUCGAGGUAUGAGCACAAUGCCUCGUGUUGUGAAGAGAAAGCUUCAGAAACUGAGGCCAAUUGUUGAGUACAAUAAAAGGGGGAAAGGUGUUGGCCAAGCACAUAUUGAGAUGCAGUCGUAUAUUGGUGUGUUGGCACGCUCCAGGAUCCCACUUGUGGACAAGAAAUGGUCCCAAAUCCCCAAGGAUAUAAAGGAGCAGAUUUGGGAAGCAGUUGACAUGGCUUUUGUCGUAGGCCAAGGGGGCAAGACCUCUGUUUUAGCUUCUGCUUCCAAGAAAUGGAAGGAUUUCAAGUCUACACUAACGAGGCAUUAUAUCCUUCCAUACACCAAUGACAGGGAGAAAUUAAGCCAACCCCCUGAAACAUAUAAAUUCAUAGAGAAAGCACAAUGGGAUGCCUUUGUAGCUUCAAGGCUAUCCAAAGAUUUUGAGUCUGUGCAUUCUCAACAUGCACAGAUUAGGGAGAAACUCGAGUACAAUCAUCGAUUGUCUCGAAAAGGAUAUGCUGGAUUGGAGGAUCAAUUGGAGGAAACCAUGCCUGGGGUAGAAAUUGAUCGAUCUACCUUAUGGAAGAGAGCUAGACAGGACAAACAUGGUAACAUCCCUGAUCCAAAGGUGGCAGAGAAAGCAAAAUUAAUUGUAAGCCUACUAUCACUCUGUUUUAAAUUUUUAUUAAACUGUGAAUUAUUCUUAUUACGUCGUAUGUUAUAUUUUUCGUCGUGUGAAUGAUAUUACCACGUCGAAAAGUUUUUAAAAACGUCGUUAAAGGUCUAAAUAGGAAUCACUACUAUGUUUUCUGUAAUUACAGCAUAAGACGUCGGUGGUUCAUUUUCGCGUCGUGUGAAUGAUAUUACCACGUCGAAAAUUUUUUAAAAACGUCGUUAACGGUCUAAAUAGGAAUCACUACUCUGUUAUCUUUAAUUAUAGCAUAAGACGUCGGUUGUUUAUUCAUUUCGUCGUUUUAAAUAAAUAACCACGUCGGUAUAACUACCGUCGUGAUAAGUUAUAAUAACGUCGGUUUAUACGUUAUUGCGUCGUGUGAAAUUAUAUAAUACGUCGUUUGUACAUAAAUAACCGUCGUGUGUUUUUUUGUUUAUCUUUUUUUAGGAUGAAUUGCAGAAACAAGUCUCGGAAGGCAAAGUCAGAGUAGAUGGCAGCAAUGAUGUGCUGACCAUGGCUUUGGGCCCCGAGCAUCCAGGCAGACUGAGGGGAGUUGGUGCUGGUGUUUCCCCAAGGCAAUAUUUCAAUUUGCCCAAACCACAGAGGGUGAGCUUUGACGACCGUUUGAAGGACAGUUUAAGAGUUCUCCUUCAAGAAGAGACUAAAAAGAUGGAGGCUAAGGCAAGGGAAGAGGCCUUAAGGAUGGAGGCUAGGACAAAACAAUUGGUAGAGGCUGAGAGGGAGCAUUUCCUGAGUCAGCUUUCCCAAUUAAUUCCCAAUUUUGAUCCAAGCAUGCUUAAACCAAGAAUUAGCCAAAGCCCCAAAAAUUCAAUGUCUGACAAAGCUAGCUGCUCUGGAGGUGAUGUGAGAUCCCUACAUUUGGAGGAUGAUACUGCCAAAAUGGGGAAACAUCAGCCAGAUGAAGAGAAGGAAGAAGAAAAAAGAGAUGAAGAGAAGGAAGAAGAAAAGGAGAAAGAAGAUGAAGAAAAGCAUGACGACAAGGUAUGUUCACAUAACUUUGCCUUUUUUAUUUGUUUUUCAAAAUUUCAGACGUCGAUAUUUUUAUUUAAUCCGUCGUUUGUUUAAAACUUAGACGGCGGAAUUUUUUUAAGACGUAAUAAAAUAUUUAAACGACGGUUUUUGCACCGUCGUUUAAAUGGUUUCAGACGACGCUUUAUUCAUAAAACCGUCGUCUUUAUUGAAUUACCACGACAGUUUUUUCACCGUCGUUUAAAUACUUUUAAGACGACGUUUUAUUACUUAAACCGUCGUCUUUAUUGAAUUACCACGUCAUUUUUUUUAUUUCUUUAAACAGGUUAUUGAAGUUGGUGCUUAUUCAAAUAUGGAGGCGCCAUCUUCUUUAAAAACCCUUUGUCGUUUUGUGGAAACGACACUCCUGCCUGAGGAUAAGACACUCCAAUUUACAAUUGAUAAGGAGGUGUUUGGUGGUGAGCGCGAUACCUUCCUCCUGCCUGAAGAUAUUACACAAUUUGCAGGCAUGGAAGAAAUUGGAGCUACUGUAUUGGCUGUAUAUAUGAGGUUUGUACUUCUAAAAUAAUACCUCGUUGGUUUAUAUAUUGCGUCGUCUUAACUAACUACCACGUCGUCUUAACUAACUACCGUCGUGAUAAAUAUAUUAUAACGUCCUCAUCUAUUUCAGUACGUCGUGUGAAAUAUUAUAAUACGUCGUUUUUUUAUACAUAACCGUCGUGUUUGUUUGUGCUGACUUGUUUAUAUUAUUUUAUUUGUUUAGGUACUUACACGAUGUUUUGAAAAAAGCCAAUAUGUGCAGUAUGGUUGGCUUUAUCGACCCUGCUACAGUUAGUGCCAACUCUGGCACAAUAACUGAAAGAUCACGACUCGUAGCAGCUCGACUUCAGAAGACAGACGGUGAACAGAUUUUCAUGAUGCCUUACAAUCCAGGGUUAGUCUCCUUAGGAUUUUGUUUUUAUGAUUUUCAAUAAAUGACAGCUUAUAAACUAACCACGUCGGUGUUUUAUUUUAUUUAGUCGUUUGAAACUACUAACCACGUCGGUAUUUAUUUAUCGUCGUGAUAAAUAUAUAAUGUCGUCGUUAGCUACUUUACUUCGUCGUGUGAAAUACUAUAAUACGUCGUUUUUGUAAAUAACCGUCGUUUUUAUAUUAAUUUUGUGCAGCCGUCAUUGGAUUUUGCUGAUUGUAAGAGCAAAGAGAGAAACCGUCUAUUUUCUGGAUCCUCUGCCAGGAAAUCGUGUGGUCGAUGAAGAGGCCAAAAACAUCGUGAACAGUGCUUUAAAAAUAUAUAAUACCCACAUAGCCCGAGCAGGACGUAAAAAUGUAAUUUGGAAAACUCUCUCAGGCACACCAAAGCAACCCAGCAAUGUCGAAUGCGGGUAUUAUGUAAUGCGCUUCAUGAGGGACAUCAUCAUGGAUCCUUCCUUGGGGUUUGAGAAUAAGGUAAGAAGAAAUUACCUUCAUACAUUUCACGUCGUUUUUUGUAUUAUCAACGACGGUCGUGUAAAAUUAACGUCGUUGAAUGGAUAUACUACGUCGGUUAUGAAAAAUAUCGUCGUCUGUGAUUGAAUUUCUUUUUAUUUAUAAACCCUAAUAGUCAUUGUUUAUGCAGUAUGCCAAGGGAAACCAGGAAGCUUCAUACCCCCAAGAAGCCAUUGAUGAAGUCCGGAAUGAAUGGGCAGAGUUUGUUUUCCAAAUUAUUAAACAGGGCAAUUAUUGAACACUUGAUAUUUAUGUAUAAUGUACCAAUUUUCUCUAUAAUAUGUAAUGUAAAAAUUUGUUGAGGUUUUCUUAAAUUAAAAAAAAAACAAACAUACAAAUUGCUUAACCGACGUGUAAUACUUUUCCAACGACCUAAUAAAGUCAAUAACCGUCGUAUUUUGUUGUUGCGUGUUUUAAACAAAUACGACGUAAAAAAAUAGUUAGACGACGUUCUUUGAACAAUUGAGUCGUUAAUGGUUUACAAUAUCUUCAAUUUCUUAAGGGUUCAGGGUAUAAUCGACGACGUUUAUGUAACGACUGCGGUUAAGUCGUAAAAUAUAUAUUUUACGUCGUAUAGUUAAAUAGCCGCCAUGGUUUCUCAUUUUAACGACUUAGUAGUCUAUUACAAUUUACAACGUCUACAAUUUAUUAACACCGACGUGGUUUGUUGUUGUGGUAAGAAUAUUUUAUUAUUUUUAUAUCAAAAUAUUCAAAAUAAAUUUAAAAUAAAUCAGAAAAUUGAAAAGUCAACUCCUAUGAAGUCAUUGAUAUAUUUUCUUCCACAUAAACCUUGAAAAAAUUCAUUUUGAAUAACAAAAAUUUAAAAUGACCAUCCAAAACAAAAUUGUUUUGAUGAGUCAUAAAAUCACUUCUAGUUUUAUGGUUUAGGGUUUAGAGUCUAGGGUUUAGAGAUUAGGGUUGUUAUUUAUUGGGGUUUAUUUUUAAAGUAUAAUUUUUGGGUAGUCUAUGUUAUAUGUUAGGCUUUAAAACCAUAAAACCUUUUAUAAACUUAAUUUUUUAAAUUGUAUAAUUUAAUUUUAUGGGUUUAGUGUAUUAAUUUUUAACGACGGUGGUUGGGUCGUGGAAUACAUAUUUUACGUCGUACAGUAAAACAUACGACAUGGUUUACGCUUUAAACGACGUCAUUUUAAUAUGUAAGUCGGUUUAUAUAAUUUACAACGUUUUUAAUUUCUUAACACCGACGUGGUUUCUCAUUUUAACGACGUCAUUUUAACGACUUAGUAGUCUAUUACAAUUUACAACGUCUACAAUUUAUUUAACACCGACGUGGUUUGUUGUAUGGUAAGAAUAUUUUAUUAUUUUUAUAUCAAAAUAUUCAAAAUAAAUAUAAAAUAAAUCAGAAAAUUGAAAAGUCAACUCCUAUGAAGUCAUUGAUAUAUUUUCUUCCACAUAAACCUUGAAAAAAUUCAUUUUGAAUAACAAAAAUUUAAAAUGACCAUCCAAAACAAAAUUGUUUUGAUGAGUCAUAAAAUCACUUCUAGUUUAAUGGUUUAGGGUUUAGAGUCUAGGGUUUAGAGAUUAGUGUUGUUAUUUAUUGGGGUUUAUUUUUAAAGUAUAAUUUUUGGGUAGUCUAUGUUAUAUGUUAGGCUUUAAAACCAUAAAACCUUUUAUAAACUUAAUUUUUUAAAUUGUAUAAUUUAAUUUUAUGGGUUUAGUGUAUUAAUUUUUAACGACGGUGGUUGGGUCGUGGAAUACAUAUUUUACGUCGUACAGUAAAACAUACGACAUGGUUUACGCUUUAAACGACGUUAUUUUAAUAUGUAAGUCGGUUUAUAUAAUUUACAACGUCUUUAAUUUCUUAACACCGACGUGGUUUUUCAGUCGUCGUUAUAUAAAAAAUUCAAAAUAAAUUUAAAAUUAAUCCGAAAAAUGAACGGCCUUACGUUCUUAAUCCGAAAAAUGAAGUUUCCGUCGUGGAAUAUUAAAUUUACGUCGGUACUUGUAGAACUUUCGCCUUGGUUUUUCUUUCGACGUUUUAUAACGCGCGCGCUCUAAAAAUUUUCGCGCGACCUAAAUUUUUUUAGAUUUGGCUCUUAGUCUUAUACUUUGAUCCCUGAAACCUAAAAUUUCAGAUUUCACGCGACAUAACAUUUCGCUCUCUCACUUCUGCUCUAAUUAAAAGUUGCACUCUCCAGGCUCGUCGAAUCUGUGAGCUCGUCCAACCUGUAAGUACAAACCCUAUCUUCCCCUUGUAAAUUCAUUGAAUGAUAUUAGGUUGUUUUGUUAAAGGGUUUUAGGUAUAUGCUUUGCGAUCUGUUAAUAAUGUGCUUAUAGGUAUGGGUUCAUGGAUUUUCUGUUUAAUGGGUUCAUGACAAGAUCAAAUAAAGGUGUACUUUUGCUGGAAAUCAACACAAAAAGACACAUCACCAACUUCCAAAUGAUUUCCAGCAAAAGGACACCUUUAUUUGAUCUUGUCAUUUUCCGCUCUGGAGAAGGUGCAAAGUGCACCAAUGCUUAUAGGUAUGGGUUCAUGGAUUUUCUGUUUAAUGGGUUCAUGGAUUACAUUAUCUGUUAUGUUGAAUUGGGAAUGGAUUUAAUUUUGUCGUAUCUUUUAAUCACCCUAUGUUAUGUUGAAUUGGGAAUGGAUUUAUUGUUUUCAUGCUUGGUUUCAUGUAUAUGUUGGUUUCUUGCUUGGUUUCAUAUAUAUGUUGUGUUCUUAAUGGGUUUUGUGUUCUUGAAAAUAAACUGAGACACGACGAAUUUUAAGGCGUACGACGACGAUUACACGACGGUGUUUUUAAACUACCGUCGUUGUAUUACUUAUACACGACGGUUUUUUCAUAAACCGUCGUUUGUAUUACGUAUAAUAGACGACGUCUGUUGAAAAUCCGUCGUCUAUAUAUGCCAAAUACGUCUGUUUUUGAUUAAAACCCGUCGUCUCUGUUGUUUAUUACUUGCGAUUAGAUCAUUGUAUAAUCUGCUAUAGUGAUGGUCAUUGCCUGUAUUUUCACUUUAUUAUAGAUAAUAGGUUAUAGUGUCGGAGAUGGAUAAGUCAUGGAUGCACUCGGAUAGAAGAUCGAAGGCAUAUGAGUUUGGGGUGGAAGCAUUUUUGAACUUUGCUGUAGAAAAUCUUCUAACUACAACACAUAUCCGUUGUCCAUGUGUUAAAUGUGUUAAUUUGAAGUUGUUUGGGGUUGGAAUUAUAAGGGAUCACUUAUACUUUAAUGGAAUUGACCAAAGCUAUAAGAAUUGGACAUUUCACGGAGAACCUUGGGAAGCAACUACUAAUGCUAGCAGAAAUGUUGAAGAAGAUGAUGGCCAUAGUAGGUACAGUUUUGUGUCUGAAGAAAUUGAUAUGGAUGAUAAUGAUUUUGGUGAUUUUGGUUCGGAUCCGUAUGAGUUUGCCAAUGUGAUUGGGGAUGGAGAUCAACCAGUGUACCCUGGUUGUAGAAAGUACACGAAGUUAUCGGCAUUAGUGAAGUUGUAUAAUUUGAAGGCAAAACAUGGGAUGAGUGAUGUCUGUUUUACAGAAUUAUUGAUACUUCAAGGCGAUUUGCUUCCAGAAGGAAAUACAAUACCAACCUCCAUGUAUGAGGCUAAAAAGACUUUGUGUGCAUUGGGGCUGAGUUAUGAGAAAAUGCACGCAUGCCCCAAUGAUUGCAUCUUGUAUAGGAAGGAGUAUGAGGAUUCAACUAAUUGUCCUACUUGUGGUAUCUCAAGGUGGAAGGAAGGCAAAGAUGCAAUCUUGAAAGAGGGUGUGCCAGCGAAGGUGGUGUGGUAUUUUCCCCCAAUUCCAAGGUUUAAAAGGAUGUUUCAAUCACAUGAGACAGCUAAGAGUUUGACUUGGUGGCAUGUUGCUAGAAAAUCAAUUGACGGUCAGAUGUCUCAUCCGGCGGAUUCCCCGUCUUGGAAACUUCUUGAUGAUAAAUGGCCUGAGUUUGGUAAUGAGCCGAGAAACUUGAGAUUGGCUCUUUCAUCUGAUGGAUUCAAUCCCCACAGUUCUCUAAGUAGCAGAUAUAGUUGUUGGCCGGUUAUCUUAGUUACAUAUAAUCUCCCUCCAUGGCUGUGCAUGAAACGAAAGUUCAUGAUGUUAACCUUAUUGAUUUCCGGUCCUAAACAACCCGGAAAUGAUAUAGACGUCUACUUGGAGCCUUUGAUUGAUGAUUUAAAAUCCUUGUGGGUUGGGAUUAGAGGAGUGUAUGAUGCACAUAAUGGAGAAUACUUUACACUCAGAGCUGCAUUAAUGUGGACAAUUAAUGAUUUCCCCGCCUAUGGAAACUUAUCUGGUUGUGUUGUUAAAGGAUAUAAAGCUUGUCCAAUAUGCGGCGAUGAUACACCUAGUCACAGGUUGAAAAAUGGCCACAAAAUUUGUUACAUUGGGCAUAGAAAAUGGUUACCAAUCAAUCAUCCAUAUAGGAGGCAACGUGCAGCUUUUAAUGGGAAACCUGAAUAUGGCAUACCUCCAGAGCCAUUAACCGGAGAAGAAGUGCUGCAUAUGGUUGAAAAUGGUGACAGAGUUUGUUGGAAGAAGAAAUCAAUAUUCUUUGAUCUCGAGUAUUGGAAAUACCUUCCUGUGAGGCAUGCCCUAGAUGUUAUGCACAUUGAGAAGAAUGUUUGCGAUAGUAUCAUUGGUACAUUGCUGGAGAUCCCUGGAAAAAAUAAAGAUGGGAUUGCUGCUCGAUUAGAUUUAUUGAACAUGGGGGUCAAAACUGAUUUGCAACCCGAGUAUGGAGAAAGACGUACUCGUUUGCCUCCUGGGCCUUGGAAUUUGUCAAGAGCAGAGAAGAGAGAGGUUUGCAAUUCUUUCUAUGGUAUGAAGGUCCCUGAAGGUUAUUCUUCAAAUAUUAAAAAUCUUGUAUCUGUACAAGAUUCAAGACUUCUUGGCCUUAAAUCACAUGAUUGUCAUACCUUAAUGCAACAAUUGCUCCCUGUGGCAAUUCGUUCUGUUUUGGAGAAGCCUGCAAGGUAUGCAAUAACUCGUUUGUGCUUCUUCUUCAAUGCUAUAUGUGCAAAGACUGUUGAUGUUUCCAAGCUAGAUAAGUUGGAAGAAGAUGUAGUAGUUACUCUGUGUUUGCUUGAGAAGUACUUUCCCCCUUCAUUCUUUGAUAUCAUGGUUCAUCUAGUAGUACAUCUUGUCAGAGAAGUUCGUCUAUGUGGGCCAGUAUAUUUUAGGUGGAUGUAUCCGUUUGAAAGAUAUAUGAAAGUGCUGAAGGGGUAUGUUCAGAAUCGUACUCGUCCCGAAGGUUGCAUUGCUGAGCGGUAUAUAGCUGAAGAAGCGGUAGAGUUUUGUACUCAGCAUUUAUCUGAUGUUAGUACAGUUGGAGUGCCUUCAAGCCAAAAGAUGGGAGUUUCAAAGCCAUUAUCAGGUUGCACAGUGAGCGUAGUUGAUCAGGACCUGUUGAAUCAAUCACAUCUAUAUGUCUUGGAGAAUACGGAGGAAGUCCUACCUUAUAUCGAGUACGUAUGAGUUUUAUUCUUUAAGUUUCCAUUUAAAAUUAUUUCUUAUGUUUAUCUUAUAUAUUUGGGACCGUAAUGCUUGAAUUUUUCGUGUCAUGUAGGCAACAUAUGAUCCACAUCAAGACUGCUUAUCCAAAAUUUAGAAAGAGAACAAAGUGGCUGCAGGAUAAGCACAAUAGCACUUUCAUUCAAUGGCUACGCUUCAAGGUAUAUGUUGUUGAAUAACGUAUUUCUCUUUUAAUUUUCUUCUUAUUUAUAUGUUAGGAUGAAUUAAGAUAUGAUUAAUUUGCAGGUUCAAAGUGAAGUUGAGGAAGACAAUCAUGGCGUAUCAGAAAAUUUAAGGUGGCUAGCAGCUGGUCCAAACAUGUCAGUGCCAUUAUAUAGGAGCUAUCUUAUUAAAGGUAUUAAAUUCAAUAUCAAGGCACAAGAUGAUGUGCGGACAACUCAAAAUAGUGGAGUUUAUUUACUUGCACAUACCAUGCAAGUUGCUAGUGCCAAGGAUAAAAACCCAAUUCUCUCAAAUAUGGGUUUCUAUGGUGUCAUUCAAGAAAUUUGGGACCUUGACUACCAAAAGUUUACAAUCCCAGUCUUUAGGUGUGAUUGGAUAGAUAGUUCUGGUCUUGUAGUCGACGAACUUGGAUUUACCCUUGUAGAUUUGAGUAAAAUUGGACAUAGGAAUGACCAAUUUGUUUUGGCUUCUCAAGUCAAACAAAUAUUUUUUGUUGACGACCCGAUGCAUCGUGGUUGGUCGGUAGUGUUAUCAAUGCCUAGUAGAGAAUAUAAUGAUGUUAUUGGUGAUGAAGUAUUAGGUGAUGUGAUAAUUGAGUGUGAGCCAUUUACUAGAGGGAUGCCAAAUGUUGACACAUUUGAUGAACUGGUAGGUGAGUUAGGCGGUCAAAAUAUUCGAGAUGGGUGUGAAGAUAUAUGGAUUGAAUGAUGCUUAUGUAAUUGGCAGUGUAUGACAUUAAUUUUGUAAUAUAUUGUAAUGUGAUUUCUUCACUUUCUACGUUCAAAUAAAACACGACGUUAUUGUGAAUCAGUUAUUCAGCAUAUUUACCGACGUCUUAAAGCAACGUAACAAUGAAGAACCACGACGCUAUUGUGAAGCAAUUAUUCAGGAUAUCACGUCGGUGAAGGAUAAAGAACCGCCAUGUAAUUCAAAAUAACACGACUCCAAUCCCAUAAUACCGACGUCUAAAAAACGAGAUAUGUAAUCUGAACGUUAAAAAAUACGACGUCAUCAUACAUUUUCCACGUCGCAAGUUCUUUUAUAAACGAAGAGGAACGAAAUUAAUUCCGACGGAAAUUCAUUAUAACCGCCGUCUAAUAACAAUUAAACGACGUUAUUUGUAAUACGGCUCCCAUCAUAAUCUACGCCGUCUAUAUGUUCUGUAAUACGGCUCUCAUUUAUUUGGAACCGACGUUGUUUAGACGUUCAACGUCGUCUAUAUUAUUAAGUGCGUCGUGAGUAAUGAAUACAUAUAAAUACAACGUCGACUAUAUAAAUGUAUACGUCGUAAAUAAUGACACUGACAACUAUUUCCACGUCAUCUUUUUUAGAUAAAAUCGAAGUGGAAAAUUUAUUUCACGACGGUUUUUUGUAAAUAAGAGACGUUGUAGAACUUUAGCAGACUAAACACGUCUGUUUUUAUUGUUUUCCGACGUUGUUGUAUUUAACAACGUCUAAUAUUUAUGGUCGUUGUUUGUUUCUGAAAAUAGGACGUAUAAAUUUUUUAAUACGACUCUCAUAUAUUUGUAACUGACGUUGUUUAGUUUUUCAACGUCUACUAUAGAAACACAUACGUCGUAAAUAAUGACACUGACAACUAUUUCCACGUCAUCUUUUAUCAAAAAAUCGAAGUGGAAAAUUAAUUGUACGACGGUUGUGUUUAUAUGUGCGACGUAGUAGGUAUCAAUAACGUCGUCUUCUAAUGUAUUUAAAGACGUCAUAUUUUUUAUUGUCGUGAAAAUUAUAUUUAACGUCGGCGUAUUUUUAUUGUCGUCGUUGUAUGUCUAUCUUGCGGCCUUGUUCUCUUAAUAUGUGUCAUAUUUUCCCUUUUUAACGACGGUCUUUUUAGAGAAUUGGUCGUCUAUUAUCAUCAUCGAUUGCUUUUUUUAGAUCUUUUGCAGUACAAAGACGUCGUUUUGUAUUUUUUGAUGACGUUGUAUUGUUUAACAACGACGGUUAUUUAGCGUCGUGGUUUAUGAGGGAAAAGAUGACGGUGGAUUCCACGACCAUUGAAAAACCAAAUACACGACGGUGAUUUACCGUCGUCUUUUUGCUUUUUUGUAGUAGUGCCUGAUGAUGAAGAAUCAAAAAUUUUGCCUAUUUCUUUCCUCCCCAUCCCAAAACAGACAACCUUAAGCCGCUGGAAACUUUUUGGCUGUGUGGGAUCUAGUAAUGGUUUAGUUUGUUGUCAUCUGCCCAUUGAGAAGGAGAAUGAAAAAGAGAAUAGUACAACGGCAGAGGUGGAGGAGGAGGAGGAGCGAGAUGUAGAAGAAAAGGAUGCUGCUCCUGCUCCUGCGCAUACUGAUAUAUUAGUAGUAUGGAACCCGGCAACAGGAGAAUUUAGGUAUCUCCCGCAACCACCUAUUAAUCUUUUUGAGAAGGAGGAGGGCAUAGGCAUAGGCAUAGGCAUACAACGGGAUCGUCAUAGGAAUUAUGUUUUAGGUUUUGAUUUCUUACCAGAGAUUAAUCAAUACAAAGUGGUGAGAAUUUUCCCGGCACCUCAUCCCGGUAAUGAUUACGAUUCCGACGAUGAUGCUGAUGGAAAAGUUGCCAUUUUCCAAGCCCAAGUGUUGCUCCAAAGUACAAAUUCAUGGAGAGAUGUCAAAGACAUAUUAGAGUUUCCAUCAUUUAAAAGUUUUAAAAGUACUUGUCUGUCAUGUGAUGCGAUUACCUUGAAUGGAGUGAUGUAUUGGUUGGUAGAGCAAACGUCGAGAGAGUUCAAUCUUGUGUCAUUCAAUUUACGUGAUGAGGUUUUUCAUUUGAUACCACUACCAAUAGAAUGGCGUCGUCUUACUGUUCAAUAUCAUUUACAUCCAUGGAAUGGUUCAGCUGCAAUUUUGACUAGUUAUUCAGAAAAUGGCGAUUGGGAGCGAGUGCUUUGGGUGUUGGUUCAAAAUCAAGAAUCUAGGAAGCCAGCUUGGGUUCAACAAUUUAGAACCAGAUCGAAAGUAUUUUUGGAAUUACGGUGCGUAGGAGCUUGGAAGGAUCAAUAUAUUGUCUCCAAACGAUCACGAAAUAGCUUGUUUGCUUAUGACCCUAGAAGCGACACAAAGAAAAAGCUUUUUCCCCACUACCAAUUCUGGUUUUUUGGAGGACUGGAUUAUGUGGAGAGCCUACUUCCAGUCUAGACCUAAUUGGAUUAUGUGGAGAGCCUACUUCCAGUCUAGACCUAAUUAGUUAAUUUGUAUGUAGCUCUAUGUGAUCAAAGUUGUCUCACACGUAUACGUGAGUGGACAUACGUACGAGGAGAUAUUUGCAUUCAUCAUGUACAUGUAUGUAUGUAGUAACUUACUCUCAAUUAAUUCUAGCUAUAGGUUUUUUGAACCACCGUGUUUAUUGAUUUUGUAGGACACAAUUAGAUGUCUAACUGGUUUUCGAUUUGUCUAAUUUUUUGCAAGGAUGAUCUAUGAAUGAAGACCUAAAAAAUAAAUUGUUUGGAUUGUUGAAAAAAAAUUUGUAAGGUACCCUAAAGGGCGUCCCUCAAUACAAUAUAUAUAGGCAAAAUUGUAGCAAUGGUCCCUAGACUAAGCCCCCACUUUACUUUUCGUCAGGUAAUGGAGAAUCCCCAUACAAUAUAUAUAUAUAGCAAAAUUGUAGCAAUGGUACUUGGACUAUGAUCAAAUUUUACUUUUUGUCCCUCGUUUUGCUAAAUUAUUACGAUGGUAUUUUAAUUAUGCAUCCACUUUUAGAAAUCGUCAUUUUCGUCAUCUCAGUCAACUUUUUCAUUAAAAAUGAUGACCUGACAUGGACAAGUCCUACUUGACAUGGGCACACCCGAUUCAUAUAUUAUUUUGUAAGAUUUGAGUAAUCUAAGCGUCAUUCCUUUUGGGGAUAGGAUUUAGUGUUCGAUAUAAGGGAUAGGAUCCAUCUGCUCUCUCUAUUAAAAAAAAAAAUGGAGCUUGGACCCAUUUUCCUCACAAGAUUUAAUUGACCCAACAAAAUCAAUGGGACUAGGGACAAUAUUCGAGGAUCCCUCCUCCCCACGCCCAGAUUUGUUCUUCCCCCUCCCGUCAGAUAACACACAUUAGACCCUACACCCAGAUUUGUUCUCCUCCACCCAAUUUCUCUCCCCCACACACACAUCAGACACCAAAUCCUCCAAUAAAAUCAAACAACAAAAUAAUUAAAAAUUAAAAAAGCCUAAAAAAGAAAGAAAGCAAAAAAGGAAAGAGAAAAAAAAAAAACCUCAGUGGCGUCUCUGAUCAAUCCAACAUAUAAAAAGACAAAUAUGCCCUCAUUUUUAAUGGAAAAGUUGACUGAUAUGACAUAAAGGACGAUUUCUAAAAGUGGAGGCAUAAUUAAAGUACCACCGUAACAAUUUAGCAAUAUAAGGAACGAAAAGUAAAGUUUGGUCUUAGGCCAGGGACCAUUGCUACAAUUUAGCCUUAAAAAAAUUAAGAAAAAACUUACAGUAUCUUUAGGUUGAACAUAUUAUAGAGCUAGAAACUAA
rnacentral:lncRNA from 1 species